rnacentral:lncRNA from 1 species
ACACACAAUUAUUAGAACAAAUUUUAUAAGGCCACACAUGAGUCAUAUAUUCGGGAUUGGUUUUAAAGAAAAAGACAUCAAAUGUGACUGUGUCCAAGAUUUGUUAAGUGUGUAUGAUUUUGUUACAGAAAUCUCUGGUGUUGGUUGGAGAUUGAUAUUAUCCAUGAGGGGAGUCAAUCAAAAAGACAACAACUGCUGCAUUUGCUGGUACUGCUAGCUCAGAAAAAUUGGUCCCUGCUCCUUUUGCUUGCUGUUGUUGUUGUCUUCGAACAAAAACAAAAGCUGUUUUGAUUUAGGCAGAUUUUACCGAGUCAGCUCUGGUACUACUCAGACAGACCUGUAGUCAAAGUAAUGAAAGCUCCCUGAAGACAAACCCAGAAAAGAAGAGGUGGAGACAGAUUCAGAGAGACAUGAUUUCAGGGUACGGUGGAGGUGGAGGAGAUAAGGGUGGUGCAGGGCUUUUGGCUUUUCUUUUGCUUUGUUUUUAUGACCACCAGAUUAAAGUGACCACCACUGUCGAGUCCAAUGCUACACACUGUAGCCUAGUUAACUAAGUCAAGGUUGGAGAUGAGUACCUGGGUAAAAGUUAAACAAAAUGAGUUCAGAUCCUUCUCCCAAGUUAAAUUUCACGCAUGCUUUUGGGGAUUGUUUAUUGAGGAAACUUUUGUUACUGCUUCAUGAAAAGAUUAGUAAUAAUCAUAAAAUUAUAAGUUUGUCGCUCUUUUUUGUAAUAGAAUGUCGUUACAAACGUGUAUGUGUUAGAUAAAUUUUCGUAAAUUAUUAACCGAGUAAUAAUCAAGUUAAUUAGUGUUCAAACCACAUAUCAGAGAAAAACUUGUGAACAUAUCAAUAAUUCUUUUGCAAAUCCAUUUAAGAAAAUUGUGUCAUAUGAUUACUCUUUGAUAAAAUUUUAGCGCACCUUUUGUCAUGUAAAUCAAGAAUCAUUUGUUUCAUGUUCGGUUAAAUUACCGCAGGGUUGGUUUGACCAAGAUAAAGUACCGUAGGGUGGUAAAAUUGACAUAUUCUUCCCAGAUGGUAAAAAUGAGAGACCGACGAGCAUAGAAUACUUGUUCGUCCUUCAAGAGGAAGAGAGGACCAUCUGGAUAAUAUGAACACGUGGCAGUGAAGCAACGUUGACUUGAAUUUCUGGUAAAACUUUUCUGUUGCGGGGAUAUGAGACCCAUCUUGGUUGGGCCAAUGAGAGCCCAGCAACGCCACGUGAGAUGUCGUUUUGAGUUUCGCUUUGUUUGGCACUUCGGUUUGAUCCCUACUAAUAGAAAAAAGAAAAGAAAAUAAAAAAGAAAAAAAGAAAAAAAAGAAAUCUGGAAGUUUUAGGUCUUUUUCGGAAUUGAGAUGGACAAAGACUAAUUUCAAAAGUUUCAGCCCUUUACAAAACCAGCUGGUGAAAGUUCAGUCUAGCUGAAUUAAAUUAGAAAUCAAAGAGGUUUAAGAUAAAGUUUUCCUAAAAAUUACGUGCUGUUGGGUAGAAAUUGAACGAGGAUCUAAGAGCUUGCCGUUGUUGGGCUUGGUGAUCCGAUCUUCCCUUUUAGGGUUACGAGACUAGGCCCAAAGUCUUCCUAAGAUAGACUUUGUUGUGAUGGAGAGGCUCCAAGCGUGUGUAAUAUCAAUACUGAGAGGACUUAGUAGUGUGCAUGGUGUGGAAGCUAGGAUCAUGCAAGUGUAACAUAAUGCAUGCUCAUCAAAUGUGGGUGAGGGAUUGUAAAAUAUGGUGGUGGUGGUUAGAGGUGUCUGAAGGUGUUUAGGAGAAUGGGUAUGGUGGUGAUGAUCUAGGGUGUCUGGAAGGAUAGGUAUGAUGAUGGUGGUCUAGAGACGGUUAAGCAUGAGGAGCUUGGUAAUGGUUUUUGCCUGUGUGUGUUGUGUCUCAAUCCCACUGUAGCUUCCUUUAAAUAAAAUGGAGGUCGAAGACUGAGGGUAAAAAAAUGACCCGUGACUCUCUAAUUUUAGCAAGAGUCAGAACCCCCUUUCUCACUGCCAUCGUUCGAGCCUUAAGCAAAAAAAACGUAAGGGUGGCAGUGGUUCUAAGGCAUCCCUCCUCAAUUUCUUGCCAAGCUAUUUUUGGUUAACGGGUUCAAACAAGACAUGGCCUUGGGUUUACCUUAAGCUUAUAAGGUGAAAGUUGUGGAGACAGGUCUGAAGUGACUUGGUCUGAGGUGAUGUGUGAUGAUGUGUGAUGUUAGCAUCCUAUGUCUAAAGGCAUUGGGUGAUGAGAUGAGGUAUCCGUUACAUGCCUAUGCGCGGGAAGCUCAAUUUCAAGUUUGAUCCUCGACUCCCAAGACGUCUCGGACACUUGACAUUUGGUCUCCAUAGGCUUGGCAAAAAUCUUGUGUCCUUCCACACCACAACCCACUAAAUAAGCCCCAUUGGCCUAGUGUGUCUUGGGUCCACAUUAUUGGCUGGCCACGUGGCAUGUCGUGAUGGAUGGUUUUCGGUGUAUACCAUCAACGAUGACGAUGCUUGUGCGCAACUGUGUUCGGCGUGUGUUGACACAUGUGCUGACACACGCAUGAAAUGGGCGAGCAUGUGGUGGUCAUUGAAGCGUGUCAUGAGAAACCACGUGCCGUAAAGGGAGUAGGCUUAGGCAUGAACUCGCAUGGCAUGGCCUGGCUUAACUCUUAAAUGGGCCUUGAGUAGAUUUAGGCACGUCAUGGCGUGGCUCGCCUCCCACGUCCUAGAUAGAUAAAAGGAGUAGGCUUGGGCAUAAAUGUCAUGGCGUGGGCUUGUCUCCCUCGUCCUAGAUAGGCUUGGGCAUAAACGAGCAUGUCAUAGUAGGCUUGGGCAUAAACCCGCAUGUCAUACUUGGCUUGACUCCUCGCUUGGCAUGGCUUUCGUGACCUCCUCCUAUAAUUUGGAUAUGUCAUGCCGUGGCUUGGAGAUUUUGUACUAAGCCCCAAGUCGCUCGAGGCAGAGGCAAACCAAACGACUCGGACCCAGGUCUCAUAUCAGCUCUAAGCCUAGGCCUCAUAUCAGCUCUAAGCCUAGGCCUCAUAUCAGCUCUAAGCCUGAUCAUUGACCUUAAGUCUCUAAAAAAAACAGGUUUACAUUUUUGGGUAUCAACACAUGCCAAUUAGAUAACUUGAAGGAGAGAAGAAUUAGAGCCGACACACCAACAUAAAUAUCACACUAUUUGUUUAUUUAAAUAAUUUUUUUUGGAUAAUGACUUAAAUAAAAGUUAAUUGUAACAAAAUGGUAAGUGCAACAAUGGUUGAGAUUGAAUAAUAAAUGUUGGGUCACUUGCAUCUUUGACAUAGUAAAGAAUUAUAAAACAGUGAUUUUAAUGUUGGACAAAUAUAAGGAAAAUGCUAAUUGAGACACUAAAAAUUUGAACCAAAUAUUAAUACCAAAUAAUGUGGCAUUUGCCAUGUCAUCAAUCUUCCUAUUAAGAAAGUGAUGAUAUGGAAUCAUACAAUUUUUUAUAUCUAAUGAAAAAGAAAUAAAAAGAUAAAAAUAUAUAAACUCAAAUUCUUCUUCAUUAGAAAAAAAGGGUGGUGCUAUUAAUACAUCGUUUUUUGCUAUUAACACACCACUUAUAUGGUGAGAACCAAUCAUCAAUCAAAUUCAAGUGACAAGUUUUUAAAUAAAAUAAAAAUGUGUGGAUAGGAAAAUAUAUAAGAUGUGUUAAUAACCAAAAUGAGUGUAUUAAUAACAAUUGCCAAAAAAAUUAUCUCUCCCUUAUGUUCUUCAGCAUCUCUCCAAUUUCUUAGGUGUUUCACUGUUUCUUAUUGGAGCCAUUAAAAGCCAUCUAUUUAUUAGAAGCUCUUUUCUCUUUCACAUGCCGGCCAUACUCCCCUCUCUUCUCAAAUUAUUAUUCUACCAUAUGAAUGGAAAUAUUGAAUUGAAGAAUCAAUAUAUAAGAUUCUCAAUGUGCUAUACUUAUUCUGCAAUAUAUAAGAAUCAAUAUAUAAGGAAAUUACGUACGUCCAUAAAACACGCAUUUAACAAAAUAUACUACAGCACACUCUAGCUAGCUGCACUUACCAUUUUAAAUAACAACACAGUACUCAUCAUCACGUACAUGAAUAAUAUUGUAUCAACAGGGACGGAACUAGGAAUUAAGACUAAGGUGGACUAAAUUUAGCUUAUAUUGACAAGGAAAAUUAUUCCUAAAAAUUUGAAAGAGAGUCUACUUUGUUUUAAACUUUCGAUGAAUUAUCUUAAUUGCGCAACAAAGGCAAGCUUACGCAACACUCGCUAAAAUAUCAUCUAAUAGAUAAGGGAGAAAAACCUCCACUCUCCCAUUACACGAUCCACACUCCUUUUCUGUUUCAUUUCAACUAGUCUAGCUCUUACUCGUGCAUCUACACGUGGAUUAAAAAAAAACAAUAAUUUGACACUUUAUACCCUCACUUAUAUAUGUUCAAAUCUAUAACCAAAUUGAUUCUCUUGCAUGUGUUUUCCCCUCCUUCAAGUGCAAAUUUGCACUACUAAUAAUUGAAAAGAGUUUCAAAUUUGAAAAAAAAAAUAUUAAGAAGUUAUAGAACAAUUUUAUUUGAACUGCUCCACCAAAAGAAGUGGGAUUUUUUUUUUUUUUUUUGUUAGAAACCAAAAGAAAGUGGGAGUGAAAGUAAUAAAACUAGCUAUCACCACGUUCCUAAUUUAAGUCUCCAGCCAAUAAAGGUAGAUUUUGUUUUUGGUUUAUUCUUUUUUUGUUUUUACCGUUAAUACCCUUACAACAAAUUUUGUUUAAUUAUGAACUGUUUUUUAGUAUAACAAAUAGGGUUAUUUAGGGUACCCGUUUUCGUACAUCAAAAAAAUAAAGCCUGGCUUCUAAUAUAGUAGAGAUUACAUGGUUCACUUUCUACACUUGCGUCUGAUGAAAUACUGUUUGAUCUUUUUUUUUUUUUUUUUUUCUUUUUCCUUUUUUUUGUUAACUCCAGCAAUUCUCAAUUUCUACCUCGACGGCUUCCUAAUUUUUCUACACGAAUCAAUUGCUCCCUUCAAUCAAAUAAAGUGAAGAGCAAUCUGCAUUCUGCAAUCAUCUCUUUAUGCAAGAGAUUGUAAUUAACCCAAUAGUGACAUUAGUACCCAGCACACUUCCAUCCAAAAGCACGGGAUUGAAUCUUGAUCUGGUUUUUGGUUUGGAUUUCUCUCAUUGCUCAAUCAAUAAUCACACAAAAAUUAACAAUUCCUCAGAGUUGCCCUGAUUCCAAGAACCUAUUAGAUAAAACCCCAUAUAAAAUUGCACACCGGCAUUGUGAAAUCAAUUUCUUCAGGAAGUGAAGAUUGAGGAUGAGUAGAAUUGACAGUUUAGAAUAUGAGAAGAUCUAAGAGCAUAAAUGCGAGGUGAAGAGGCUGAAUAGUAGAGGACUCAGAUCGUCCUCUUCUUCAUUAAUCAAACAUAGAGAUAGACAUAUAGGAACUUAGCACAUAUAUAUCAAGGAUUUUCCCCCCAAAUCUUGAGGUGGGCUGCAGCACACAUCAGCCCACCCCUGGUUCCGUUCCUGUGUAUCAAUCUCUAGCUCUCUAUCUUCUUCCUUUAGCUCAGCAAGUCAAAAAUGGAGUGAACUGAACUAGGGUUUUCACUUUUCAGAGUUGAGAAGAAAGAACUCAAAGGGAGUCGGCCCCUACCGAAACGACAAACAGGUGUGUAGGCGUGUAGCAACAAAACACCACACAACACCAGAUUAUUAGAAUAUAAAUGAUUGGGAGGAGCUAGCAGGUUGAAGUAAGCUUAACACUGAGCUCUGCCCCGACCGGGUGGUCGUCCAAAUAUAUAUCCGGUCCCCAUGGCCCAGAAUACACGUGAAAUGUCACUUGUUCUCAGACGAAGGCGACGGUCGAACUUACCGGGGCGGUCGUGGAGAGCGGAGAGCUACUCGAUCACUUCCCCCACACGGCCACACCCAUGCACUGUCACUUCACUUCACACGUGGGUUGUUGCCCUGUGGCCCCUCCACCCGCACGUGAGGGGUUAUUCGAUUUGUUUUCCUGCCGGGCUCACUUGAUGGGCCAUCCUCGCUCUGUUUGGGCCCAUGGAUCGCCAUCCACAGAGUUGAAGACUGUCGAGUGUCGACUGUUGACCUUUUUUAGAAUUUCCAGAAUAUGUGAUAUUGUGAAUAGUGGGUUAUAGCUAGUGUUUUGUUUAAUCGUGUUUAUUAUAUUCUCAGUUGCAAAUAAUUGGUCUGUAAUCAGUAGCUGGAAUCCAAUUAUGUGUAAGAAAAUGAGGCUCCUCCUAUAUUAUGGCUAAAAAAGAAGAGCUAGAAGAAAAAUGGUAGAUAAUUAGACAUUUAAGGUAAAUACUUAUUAGAGAUCGAAAAAUAUUGAGCUGAGAAGGUGUAAGCACUUUAAUUCUCGAAAAAAUUUAAUAAUUUAUCAAUGUGCACAAAAUUUGUGAAAUUUAUGUUAAUCAACAACACACGAGUUAUAUGCGCACGUAUGAACAAUCUUGUGAUGUUUGCAUUUUUUCUUUUUAACAUAAUGAACCUACGAACAAAAAUAAUGCAAUUGAUCAAGUCAAUUCAGUUCGCGCGGCCUUCUUAGCAUUAUUGUAUCUAUGCCCUUCUCAAAGUUUUGGACUAUAAUGCAAGGCUAGCUAAUUCCUUUCAUUUUCAAACUAAGAACGAACUAAAGCAGUCUCAGUUAAUCAUGUACCUGCAAUUAAUUAAAUUACUCGCAACGUUUCUCAUGAUGUAGUCAAAUACUGCGUAGUUUCAUUGCAUUAUCCACCAGUGUUCUAAUUUAAAUUAGUUUUUUGAGAAAUGAAUUCAACUGAGUGGUUGGGACUUGGGACUUGGGAGUUAUCCCCUCAUAGCUAGCUAGCUAACACCCAGAAUUGUUGAAUUCAGCUUCAGAGUCCCCUUCUGCUUACAUAUGCAUGCUUAGUACCCGUCUAGCAAGUUAGAUAGGUCAACACCUUUCAAAAUAUAGAAUUUGAUCUGGUCAAAACUAAACGGGUGCUACAAGUUGGAAUAGAUAAGGAAAACUAUAUAUGGCUCGUAGAGCUAGCUUAAUUAUAUAUGUAACAGAAACCCCUUGGUCGACCGCUAUGACAAAACUGGAUAAAGAACCACCUGAUUGAAUAUAUAAGAGCCUUCAGUCACUACUGUCAGUGUUGUGGUUUGAACUUGGAACAUAGAAGAACAGGUUCACUAAACAACUAAAAACAUUUGGUUUGAAUGAUGAUAUUAAUUUCAUCACUGAUAUAACAACGUAUUUCAAUUAAUAUAACUGAGACAUUCUGCAAAACAUAAGGGGAAGAUUAACAAAUCAAGAACAUAAAUAAACACAUUAGACUCGUGAAUCAUACCCCCUAUGAAUAUUUGUGGGAUAGUUUUGUUUGUUUAAUUCUGCAAAGUUCAACCGCUCUAACUAAUAACAUAAUUAAACAUACUGCAUCUUUCAUGAUAACCUGUAAUGUUCUUAAUCAACUUCUUUUUGGGGUAGUAGACCAAAUUAUUCUUUGGUUUAAGAGUUAGAGCUUAGAUCGUAUAUAUGUACGAUCAUGUCAACAACCAUCAAAACUAGGCUGAUGGUUUUGUUGUUCACUUGUUUGUUAAUGUCAGGUUGUGUUCGGAUCGGAAUCGUCGGAUUACAUGUCAAUGUCUUCCGGGCAUAUCACACACUGCUACAAAAACAACUACGUCUUCAAAGUCGGAAUCCUUGCGAAAAUAUGUGAACAGAUAAUUAAACAGGUAAUCAAGUCAAGUUAUAGAUAGAAAAUAUUAAUAGGUUGCAGAUAAGAGACGCGCGUACAGUUGAAGGUACAUGUAGAAAAUGGAAACUGAUCGAUGAUCGAAGUACUGAAGUUGAUAUAUACCAAAACCAAUUCAGCUCAGUACUGCGCGGUUAGCCUUUUGAUUAUAUAUAUAAUAUCGAUUUCAAUGUCGAUGACCAUUUUGGCUGCCCAGGUAGCUAGAAAUUAAGAAAAUGCAGAAACUACAUAACUUGGACUCUUGGAGGUUGGUUCCUACCAUCAAACUAAACUAAGUACACUCAUCGCCAUGUGAACAAAUAAAGAUUGCAGAUAAGAAAUGGUUGCGCAAGCUAGACGAUGGUGACUGAUGAUCCAAGAACUGAAGUUGAAAUUUAAUUACCAUAACCAUUUCAGCUAAGUACUGCGGGUGAUGAUGAAAUUUAAUAUUGCUAAAUAUCGCUUAAUAUCUUCCAACUUUUUCAUUGCAAUAUUUUGGCCAUCUAGGUAGCUAUAACAACUGCACUACUUAUCUCAUAGGCAAACAAUUGUUGGGUUAUGCGGAAGACUAAACUGUAGAAUAGAAUCAGAAACUUACAACCACAAAUGUAAAAUGUAGCAUAAAUAAAAUGAUAAAAAACACUGGGAAUUAACGUGGUUCGGCAAAGUGCAUAUGUCCUCAGGGCAACAACAAUAAAAAACCACCACUAUACAAAUAAAUGUUACAGUGAGAUAAACACUACUUCAAAACUCACACUUUAAGGGAUACACUCUCACUCUCACUCUCACUCUCACACUCACUUUGUUUUGCUACACACACAAAUUCUCGACUUGGAGUUUUCUCUCUAUCUCAUACUCUUGUAUAAUGCAAGAUGAACUCACCGGUACAUCAAUUGUACCAUUACUCAUGCCUUUAUAUAUGCAAACUUCUUCAUGCAUUUCCCAUGCAAAUCCUUCAAUGCACGAGGAAGAGAAUUCAAACUUCUUCCUUAAUUCAAGCUUCAAUGUUUGUAUGCACCAUCAAUGCAUCUCUAUUCUUUUUGUCAAACAUUUCAGGCACCCAUAAGCCUAUACGAAUAAGCUCUCUUGCAUUUCAACAUAUACACACCACCAACUUUGCUAUUCAUAUAGCAUUUUGUCUCUUGGUUAAUCGAAUGGGUCUUGAGGCUUCACCGAAAUGUUUUUCAUAUGUAGUAAACUAUAUGACAUCCUCCUCCAAAUAAGGAGGGAAAUUUGACCCAUCAACAAUUUCCUCUUCAAUGAUAAAUUAUAUCAUAAACGUGAUUCAGGUUUUGCAGAAAUUAAUCGAUAACAUGCAGAGGCUUAGAUCAGUUGAUUAGUUAUAUGUGCAAAUUAAAAGAAGACACGCACACUUGGUUUCAGGCCACCGGCUGGUAGCUCAUCAUCAGAGCAAGAUAGCUAGGUUUCAACUUCCAUUGCGAGCUGCUGUAUUUCAUUUUAUAAAUGAAGAACGAUGAUUAAUCUCUAGUAUUAAAUGGGGAUGAUUCUGAUGUUUGAAUAAAUAAAUUCAAGUCUGUGUCCAGUUUCUGUUAGUGAAUUUUGUCAUUUUCUGAUAUAUCAUGGAAUUUGGUAAUUAUUAUACUUGCUUCAAUUAUUAUGAACAAUAUCGGUAAAACUUCCAAGUAUUAAAAUUGACUUUAUAUAUCUAUCUAAGUUGAACUACUGUUGAAGUUAGUUCAUGACUCGAUCGUUAAUUUGAUUCAUGCAUUCCUAUUAUCCUAUAGCUAGAGAUUAUUUCAAUUCAGAAGUAAGUCAUCUCUCUACUGACUUAGGAAAUUAGAAAAACUUGUCUUUGUGCAUAUCCAUGUUCAUUGCAGGAGCGUCUACACAUACAUAACAUUUACUAUGAUCACAUUUCAAUACGUAGUUAAGAUUCGUCUUUGCUCACAUAAAAUGAUAAGAUCGAUAACAUAUGGCUUCUCGUACCAAAUAACUGUUUGCAUAUCACUGUAACAAGACACAAAUACUUGGUGGAUUGUAACAUUCAAUGUGCCGAUGCAUCCUCCAGACGAGCACAAGAGACUUGCCAUCCCUAGUUCCCAACCGCAAUAUAACACAAAACCUUAUCAAACACCUAGAGGCUAGAAUCUAUAACUAUACAUCUCAUGUUUUAAUGUUUUAUGGAGAAGCUACCAAGUUGUAACAACAGACCCAAGCCCACAACAUGCAGGCCCAACUACAGAAGGCCCAACACCAUGUGAAGCCCAAACUGAAAACAUAAGAACCUGAAAAUAUCCGUCAAAACUCAAUUCUCCUUAUCUCCCAAACGCACUCUCUCACUCUCUCUGAAAAAAUGGCAAUGGCGCCGAGCCUCUCUCUCACACCCAAAACCCUAAUACCAACCACCCCACGGCUCUCCCUCUUCGCCCCUCACAUCCAGCCCUCCAUCUCCUCCCUCGGAUUCACCUCCGCCGCCGCGGCUCGCCGUCUGACACGCUCGGUGGUGCCGUCCAAGCUCAGCGUCCGAGCUGUGAGCGACAGCGAGUACUCGUCGAGGAGGAGCAGCAGUAAUGAGCAGAGGGAGACGAUAAUGUUACCGGGCUGUGACUAUAACCACUGGCUUAUAGUCAUGGAGUUCCCCAAAGACCCUGCCCCUACUAGAGACCAAAUGAUUGAGACCUACCUCAACACCCUCGCUACUGUUCUUGGAAGGUACCCAUUUCCAUGUUUGUUUCAAUGGAAAAAUGAUUAUGUUAUUGCUAUGAAGAAAUUGGCCGUCUUUGUUUCGAAGUUUUAUAGGAGAAUAUAUCAAUGUUGAGAAAAAAGUAGAAUGUUUUUGGGGUGUGGUGUGAAUAAUUCUUUAGUAAUUUUGUAAGGAAAGGAAAUGUUUGUGCAGCUAACUGGAAGGUUAAAUAGUUUUUGCGUAGAGUAGGAAAUAUGAUUGGAGAAUAUGAAUGUAUUUCACGUGUCUAAAUCUUUUAGAGAACGAAAAGAAUGAUGUAGUGAAGUUUGAACUUAUUUAGGUUUGAUGAGUUAUUAGCAAGUGAGCAAGUACAACGGGAUAGUGUGAAAUGGUGAACUAUCUUCUUGUUUGAGUGUGUUGCAAAUGCUUUUGUUGUGGCAGAGUUGUAACUAACAAAAUCAUGAUGGUUUCAAUCUGGGCAUGAUACUUUGAUUGAUCAGUUGUUGUGGAAGGAUAUGGAAUCGUAUUGAACUUGUUUUAACUGAUAAUCUAGAAAGACCAGAAUUGUAUGCUUAGAGGAGUUAACUUAAGAUUGAUUGACCUCAAUCUGAACAUAUUUGGGUUUCUUUACUUAGCUAGGUUGAAUAGUUAUUGAGAGGCACUUUGUUAUUAAUCUCUUACUGUAACUAUUACAGUAUGGAAGAAGCAAAGAAGAAUAUGUAUGCUUUUAGCACCACCACCUACACUGGAUUCCAAUGUACUGUAUUGGAAGAAACAUCUGAAAAAUUUAAAGGUUUGUAUUGCAUUUUUGUUCAUAUUUGCUUGUUUUCUCAUAUAACAUUAGCUUUCUUCUGCUAACCUGGUUCAACCUGAUGCAGGGUUGCCUGGUGUUCUCUGGGUGUUGCCAGAUUCGUAUAUAGAUGUUAAAAAUAAGGAUUAUGGAGGUUGGUUAUAUCACAAUUUAAUGGUUUGUUUUAGCUUUCAAGUGCUGUUAUAAUAAAUUCAAUUUGGGUUCAUAUGUAGGUGAUAAGUAUGUUAAUGGAGAGAUAAUUCCCGGUAACUACCCUGUUUACCAACCGAAGAAACGAAGAGAAUCAAAGUUUGAGAGCAGAAGAUAUGAAAGACGAAGAGAUGGGCCUCCUCCAGAACGAACACGGCCAAAACAAGAAGCAACUCCAUCAGAAUCUGCAUCUGGUUGAGGUAGUCAGUACCACCAUAUAGGAAGUUUUUCUAUAUUUUUCUAGGAGUUGCUUUAAAAUAUAUUUGUCUGUAUUUCUGCAGUUGUUUAAUUUGGAAGUCCAAUCCGUGAAACUACUAGUUUAUCCAGUUGUCGAACUCAUCCAGGGGUACUCACAGUUGUGCUUAACUUUUUGGUGGAAGUGUUUUUUUUUUGCCUAGCCUGGAUGACAAUGGUGUCCUAUUGGCUUGUAAUUGAGACUAUUAUCUGUGAAAUAUUGAUCUUAGAUUACCUUUGUGAUAGUGUUUUUUGUCAAGACUAUUGAAGCUCAGCUAUAUAUAGUUGAUAUGGAUCCGACUUAGUUGUAUUCAUGUUUGGUUUUGUUCUUUUCUUUUGCACUAUUCUGUCCCUUCAUACUUGUUAGCAUCCAUGUGUAAGUGCGCUAGUCUUGCAUUAUCUUCUCUAAUUUCUUUGAAUUAGUUAUUCUCGAUACAUAUUAAGAUGAGAUUGACUGGCUUAUGCUGAACUCAAAGAUUGUGUUUCCUUUCCUGUCUCAUCUUUGUGGAGUUCUUCUGCAUGACCGUUGUGCUGUGCCGGGAAGCUCUGGCCAUAUAGUCCUAUAGCAUGGUUCUUGAGCUUGAUAGCAAAACUGCAUCACUAUCCUCAAGUAUAUGGGGGUUCCCUGGGGUUGGUAUUUUUUUUUUUUUGGUCAACCUGGGGUUGGCAUUUAGAGAUGCUCUUUUAAAUGCUCGGGGCAUUUCCCAAAAGUGCUAUAUAUCAUGUGGCAAAAGCUACAAAACGCCGUUGUAUGCGUACGCCAACACUUCCGUUUAAACAGAGGGGCAAACGAUGUAAUUUCUGUUGACCUGGUAAAAACAGUUUUCACCAAGCCCACUGAAGAAACAAUGUGUGACUUCCGAUCCUUGUUAAUGUCAUCAAGGUGUAUCAAAAUCGAAAACAUCCUGCCAUUUUUCAGUUGAGAUAUGGUCCAGCAGAUCCAAGCUUCGUGAUUGUCAACAGAUUUCCAUCUGAUUCAGUCAUCCAACUAGCUAUAUAUAAGUUUCAAAUCCCAGAUGCAUCCUUUCCUGUCAAGCUGCGGUCCUUGGUAUCUGACAACAAAGUUACAAGCUUCUUGUCAUCUAACGAGAGCAUUGAAGCUUGAGGGAGGUAACGACAAAUGUGAUCACCAACAUUCUAGGCUAGGCUUCCAAACUCUUGAUCAUCAAAUUAACCUCUUCUUACUCUAGUUCCAAGCUCCUGAUCAUCAUUUUCCGUGCAAAUUGCAAAAUGCUUCUCAGUGAGGAUGAGGGAGAUAGAUCUCGAUGCCGAGCUGGGAGUGGAAGCUAGAGAGGAACGAAAGUAGUUAUCCUGACGAAGCGUUUUGACUUUUGAGAGAGACGGUGGUUAUCGGCGGAGGUCUCGUGCUUAAGAGCGGGAGCACCAAUUCAUGGAAAAGAAUGUACAAAUAUGACCGAAGUGCAAACUGAGAACUGCAAGAGGCAUAUCAUAAUAAGAAACAAGGUUUAGUUGGUGAUAAAACUACACAAAAUUGAAGUGGUAAUGCCAGCAUAUGCAUGCUCUUUAACUCACUUGAAGUGGUAUUGCCACGAUUGCGCCCAUAGCUCCAGAUGUUGAAUACUUCCUUUUUCUUUUAAUUAGCCACUGACCCAACAUUAGCUAUUCCUCCAGUAUGAUCCAACAAUGGAUUACUCAUCUCUCUUUGCACUCCACAUCCAUCGUCGUGUUCAUCUAAAUGUAAACAAAAGUGUCGGUACCUUAAUUACAUGUUGGUCUCGCACUCUCCUAAUUCCGAUAAGCCCGAGAGCAAAGCAACCCACACCAUCACAAACCUGUAUUGCAUAGCCAAUCCUUUUGCCUCAAUUAUUGCAAAACCAAUUUCGCAAACAAGUAGCUCAUAGCUUCGCCGGAAGUUGGUUUCCGCUGCGUCUCUAUCGGAAUCAAUAUCGACCAAGUUACUCCGUCGUGUGCCGACCCCAUCACUAUAUUCCUCGAAGAACCGCCCUCUGACCUCGACUCCUCCGUCGCCGUCUUGGCGGCAAGAACCUCCGGCCCUCAGAUUUUAACUAUAACGAGUGAUUUUUACUGCUAACAGAAGUUAAUUGCUGGAUUUACGUAUAUGCCCUUCAUUUUUGAACCCUAUGGACAAUAUAUAGCCACCUGUUUUGGACCCACUCUGGCUGUUUUGGACCCACUCUGGCGUACGGAAUGUUGGCGUAGUCCAGCGCUUUCCAUAUCAUGUAUCAUAUUGAAAUUUGGUUGCGGUGGAUCCAAAGUGAAAUCUUUAAGCAUGGAUCCAACCUACGUGCGGCAAACGCACCACCUGGACUUUACGACCAACCAAUCAACAAGGGACAUGUACGCUUCUUUUUUGUUGAUGUCAGCUCUGCUAAAAGGAAAGAAAAAAAUUUGGAUUCCUAUCCACUCCGAUCAAACCAAACUAGAUCGUCGAAACCCAACCCACCCUAUCGCUCUCUUCCACCUUGCCUUCAACCACGACCAGACCUUGGACCCAAGAAGAAUUGAAAAGCAAACUGACCUGGUGACAAGUUUUUCCAUUGACGGGGUAGAUCGACCGCCGACGACACGAACUCCGACCAUUAGGUGGACGGUGGGAUCUGAGAGAUUUGUGUUUGGUCUUUUCAGUGGAUAAGGGAGAGGCCUGGGUUUUUGAUCGGAGAUCUACUUCUUUUCGAUUUCUUUCUUUUCUCUUCCUUCUAGCAAUGUCCACUCAGCAAAGAAAAUAAUAGGUGUCAUUUUUAAACUGGGUGGUCGCACAAGCAAGCUGGUACGUUUGCCACACGUAAGAUUUUCUCAACCUGACAUAUUGAAAUGGUUUCCCUCAUACCAAAAAAAGAGAGAAAGAAAUGGUUUCCCAUACUUGAUGUGAAUAAUAAUAUUGGGAAGUUAAAACUACUAUCUCUUUUUUUGUUGUUGUUGAAUAAAAGAGACGUUAUUAUGAAAUAUAAUUUGAAUCGUACAUAAUGAGCAUCUGGUAAGAAUUUUGGAGCAUGAGAGAACCAUUCUGCGGUAGUAUUGUUAUCACUAGCCUCAUUGUUGCAAAGCCAAAACCUGCUAGUCUAUGUGCAACCAUGUUGGCUUGCCUUAGGGUGUAUUGCAGAGUGAAAGCAUUAACUUCACUGAGAGUGCCUUUGAUGUCAUGGAUGAUAGCACUAAGAGCAUAUGCAGCAGUAUGUGCCUAUAGGUUGAAUUUGUGCAAGGGCAUAUACUAUUCAUAUGAAGAAUGAAUUGCUUUGCCUUCACAUUUUGUAUGCAACGGUUGAGAGUAAGAAUGAUAGGCAAUGUAUUAUUUUAAGUAUAAAAUUGACAUGAUAGGUUGAUUUGAGGUCCACUAUUUGACAUUUAAGCAUUGUUUUAAUCAGUAAAUGACAUCUCACUACUAUAAACAGUUGCAAAACAUAGAAAACCUAAUUUUCAAAAGAUUUAUACAAAUAAGGACGGAAGCCUAAACCCAAAACAAUACAACAUCAAGCAUAAUCCAAAUUCUAAAUAUAUAGUGACCAUAAUACCCAGAAUUUUAACAAAAUUACAGAUCGUGUCAUUCACUCCAUUCUCUCUCUCUCUCNNNNNNNNNNNNNNNNNNNNUCGUCUCUCUCUCUCUCUCUCUCUCUCUCUCUCUCUCUCUCUCUCUCUCUCUCUCUCUCUCUUUGUGACAACCAUGUUCAACAAGACUCUGACUUCGGGCCUCGCCGGUCACCGCUCCGAUCAGAUCUACCGACGUCGAAAUUGCAAGGAGGCGAGGAAGGGAAGAGAAGCCGAAGAAUGAAAGGAUGAAUGGUGAUCAAGGCUUCAAUGAAUCAGACCAGAUCUGAUUUGGUUCUUCCUCUUCUUCUUCUUCAGAUCUGUCGGCGUUGAAAUCUCAAGGAGGCGAGGAAGAGAAGAGGAGAUGAAGAAUGAAAGGUCAAUCUCUACAACUUGGUUUACUCAAAGAGUCAUUGGAAUUAAACUCAUAGCUUUGAAUUUGACAACAAAAAUUGAUCAUUUGUAGCUAAUUCGUUCUCUUGUUUCGUGCUACUACUGCUUGUUGUUGUUAUGUGCUGCUACUGCGUGCUCUUCGUGCUAUUACUGUGUGUUGUUGUUGUGUGCUGCUACUACGUGUUGUUGUUAUGUGCUGCUACUGCGUGCUCUUCGUGCUGUUACUAUGUGUUGUUGUUGUGUGCUGCUACUACGUGAUGUUGAUUCAUGUUUCUACUGUGUACAACUACUGUGUGUUGGUGUUGCUACUACGUGUUGUUGAUUCAUGCCGCUAUUGUGUAUUGUUGUUGUGUGUUACUACUGCGUGUUGUUGUUAUGUGCUGCUACUGCUUGUUGCUGCUCUGUGCUGCUACUGUGUGCUCUUUGUGCUGCUACUAUUUGUUGUUGUUGUUGUGCGCUGCUACUACGUGUUGUUGAUUCAUGCUGCUACUGUGUGCUCUUUGUGCUGCUACUAUUUGUUGUUGUUGUGUGCUGCUACUACGUGUUGUUGAUUCAUGCUGCUACUGUGUACAACUACUGUGUGUUGUUGUUGUGUGUUGCUACUGCGUGUUGUUGAUUCAUGCUGCUACUGUGUAUUGUUAUUGUGUGUUGUUACUGUGUGUUGUUGUUAUGUGCUGCUACUGCUUGUUGCUGCUAUGUGCUGCUAAUGUGUGCUCUUCGUGUUGCUACUGUGUGUUGUUGUUAUUGUGUGUUGCUACUACGUGUUGUUGAUUCAUGUUGCUACUGUGUAUAACUAUUGUGUGUUGCUACUACACUAAGUUAUUAAAAAUCUGCUAUUGUAUUCUAUUUACUGAAAAAUAUCAAAAUGAGAUUUUUCUCUUCUAAAAACAUAUUUAAUUAGUGUAGGGUUAGUUUGAUAAAUUAAACCAUGACACAUGACAUGCAGAGAAAAAAUUGUCCUUAAUUGUUAAAAACUGUUUUUAUUUGUUUAACAACAACACAAAUGUUUAUUUGUGUUUCAAAUCCUUUUGGAGAAUAUAUAUGUGAUUUGCUUUUGUUUAAUUGAAUUGAUGAGUUGACUAAGCUCCACCAUGUGAAACAAGUCGAGCAAUCAAUUAGGCAAAAUUUGCCUCUUGAUUUGGUUGGGCAGGUAGGCCCUACCACAUUGCUUGCAACUAUUGGACAUUGUUGUAUAUGGUUUUCUAUGAAAAAAGCAGAAAAGGCAACAUAUGCCCUUUCCUUUGCCUAUUGUUGCAGAUGGUCUUAGAUGAGAGAGGUCUGCUUCAUUGGAGUUGAUAGUGUUCAUUGCUACCAAGCAAUCACUUUCAGCGAUCACAUUCUUUAUCUCCAUAGCUUGCAGCAGCUGAAACCCAAAACUCACUGCCUCCAAUUUAGAGUGAAGAGUGGAGCUUGAGUACUGCACUCCUACACUUCUUAUUCAAAUGUUUAUAAUUUCAUGUAUGUGAGCGUUGUGGCGAUUUACCUGUUCUUGUGUGAUCAAACUCCAUCCCCCAUAUCUCUUGGAUUGUAUGUAGAUCAUAUAUGUUCCGCUUGUACAAGGUACCUACCAAUAUCAGAGCCAAAAGAACCAGGCUCUUGGGCAGAAAUGUAGAAAGCUCGUUCUAAGCACUUCUGACUUUUAUUUAUAAAAAAAUGAGUUGAGGUGAACUCAAUAUUUUGUUCGAUAGAAAAACCAAGUGACUUGAGAUUUGACAUAUAUAUAUUCAGGAUCAAAAGCCAUGAACAAUUGAUACUAAUACACAAAGAGACUCGGCUGCUUUUAUAAAUUUAGGCCUUGUUUGGUUCACAGAUGUGAAAUCUUCUCCUUUGCAUUACCAAUCCUAGUGCCAACUGCUGCUGCCACGAAUCCAUCUGUAGAUUCGAGAAGCGUAUGUCGAGCGCAGCGACUUGAAAGCCGCCAUCACCCUCUACUGUCCCAGAAGCCAAGAUCCCCAAACACCAUGUGUGACAACCUCCAUCAGCACGACAUGUACAAUUGAAAGAGAGGGAAGCUAUCCCACUCAUGUAUUGCCAUUGCUGGUCGGACUAGAGUGUAAAGCCUCCGAUCGCCGACCUAAAUCUCUGGUUAGAGAGAAACUAGAGAUCUAAUAAGAGAAAAUGUGUGGUGCUACUCACACACUUUGGCCCAGUUUGGUAUUGCAGUUUAAAAACUCAGUUUUAAAAAAUCACUGCUGUGAGAAUAAUCCGCGGUCAAAUAAAUCUGUUAAGCGUUUGGUAAGUUAUCAUUUUUUAAUUGCUGCGAUAAAAAUAAGUAAGGUGAGAUGUUUGGUAACCUCAUUAUAAAACUGCAGUAUUUUUAUGUAAUGACCAAAAUAGACAAAACACUAGAAUAAACUCUUUAGCUCUUUUUUUUGUCGAUAACAACUUUCUCUUUCAAUUUUUGGCUUAUAACCCAUUAUGUCAUUCCUCUUUCUUUAACUUUGCUUAUACCAGAACCUUAUAUAAUCAUUAUAUAAUCAAACAAAAAUACAUGUGAACUUGUGAAGAGCCUCUCAAGAGCCUCAGUACAUAUAUUUAAACCUUAAUUCAUAACAAAACUUCAUAUAUAUAAUAAAAAAAGUAUUUAUUCAAAAAAUAUAAUAAAAAUACUAGUUAAAUAUAAAUCCACAACCUUAUUGCAAGAAAAGAAAACUAAAGUCUUGUCUCUAAACCUGUGCACCCAUCAAACUUGAAGCAAUCCUGUUUCUCAAUGCCUCCAUCUCUCUAGAAACAUGACCGUGACCACGUGCAUCAUCCUCUCUCCCAUGCUCUUCAAUGUCAUCAAAGGUUUCACUUUCGUCAAAAACUAAAUCACGUAAGGCAUACAUUCUUAUAUAGUUGUGAAGUGUCAUUGUUGCUAUAACAAUUUUAACUUGCUUAUCAAAUGAGUAACUUGGCAUGUCCCGUAAAAUAUUCCAUUUUUUUUUCCACACACCAAAAGUGCGUUCAAUAACGCCCCUGAGGGAAGAGUGUGCAUGAUUAAAUACUUCUUUAUAACUUGUUGGUUGAGCACCUCUGCGAAAUUCAGGAAGAUGAUACCUUUGACACUUGUAUGGUCCCAAAUACCCUUUCAUUUGUGGGUAUCCUGCAUCCACCAAAUAGUAUUUUUCUGAAGAAAAGAAAAAAAAGUUGAUCAUAAUUUCAAAUGUAAGAAGUGCUUUCAAUGUUGAACAAAUGCAUGUUUUUUUAUAUAAAUAUAAUUACCACUUGGAGGCUUAGGAAAGUUCAAAGCUGGAUUGUGAAUUACUGAUUGGAAUAUUCUUGCAUCGUGGGCAGUGCCUUCCCAACCUGCACAUGCAAAUGUAAAUUGCAUGUCAAAGUUGCAUACUGCCAUUAUAUUCUGAGUCGGUAUUCCUUUUCUGCCAAUGUAUGGUACUUGAUCUGAUGGUGAUAUAGUUGCAUGAAAAUGCACGCCAUCUAUAGCUCCAAUACAAUCCUGCAAAAACUAUGAUAUUUUAUACCACGUUGUUUGUUAAAAAUAAAAAUGACUACAAGAUGUAAAAUAACUUACCUUAAAGUGAGGCAUAUAUGUAGAAUCACCAAGUAUUUCAGGUGGAGUGCUUUUGAACUCGGGAUCUGAUGGCUUGAUGAAAUCUUUUGCCAUGACAUCACAUAUCACAUUGAGCAUUUUAUUGAAGUAUCUGCUAACUAUCUCACCAGAGUGUUGAAAUCGCUCUUGAACACUUUUGUUUGCUUCACCUCCUCCUAAAGUGUACAAAAACAUUGCCACCUUCUCAGCCACACUAAUUCUCCGGGACGCUUUCACCUUAUAAGUAUUCUUCAAAUCAUCACACAAUUUAAAGAAUACAUCUUUGUUCAUCCGGAACAUGUUAUGACAACGAGUGUCAUUCCCUGAUUGUAAUUCCAUCACCCAAAUGUUACCAGUGUAUAAAGAAUUCAUACAAGGGACCUUAUGAAUAUACUUUUCAUGAUACAUUUCUAUCAUAGAAGCACAAAUGCAGACAAUUCUACUAAUCUCCUCUUCCUCCUCCUCUAAAAUGUCCAUAUCCAUAACCUGCAAAUUAUUCAAAUAUCCAUCAAGCUAUCAUGUAGUAGUACGUGCUAAAUAUAUAUUCAAGACAAGAAAAAAAGCUAAUAAUAAUAACACUCAAAUAUGUGAAUGCUUAUUGAAAAUAUGUAAAAAAAUGUCAAGAUCAGAAUCAUGCUAGGGAAACAGAAAUAAGAUGCAAUUCAAGAAAACAUACUUGUAAAAUGUCACUAGUAAUCUUCUUCCUUCCUAACUACAUAUUAUUUCCCCUGUCUUGAUUACGCAGGAUAAAUUGAAGCUUCAUCUCCGGAUCUUUCAUCACAGAAAACAUUUCCCUCUUCUCUUGGGAGCAAAAUAACUCGGUUGCAAACCACCACAAUUGGCUACCAAUCUCUAUCCCUGACAAACUUUCAACUACCUUCAUUACUUCAGAAACACUAGUAGAUUGUGAACCUUUUAUCAAUGCAGACGUUGUGGUACUCCUAGCCUCAACUACCUCAACAAGAUGAUUAAUUUGUAGGGACAAUUUUGCGGCACCUCCCAUUUUAGCCUUUUUCUCUUUUAGCCCUUCUGUGUCAAGUUGACCAUUUGCUCGCUUAUUUCCUGUCUCUUUGGUAACUUGAGCUGACUGUGGACUUUCAUUGAGGUCAAACUCCUCAUAAUCAAGAUUAUCAUCCAAUGAAAUAAUGUUGUCCUUUGGAGCUUUCUCAUUUUGAGGCGGUGGUAGAUCAGAAGAAGGAGCCCAAGCAUAUUUACCGGUAGCUACAGCGCCAUUUAACAUCAUAUCCAACUUUACCUCCAUAUCAGGAUUGAUGCCUCGAAUACGCAAUUUUGCAUAUUGUGGAUUUAUCUAUAAAUCAUAAAGAUAACAGUUAGUAUGGAGACAUAAUACUACAAUAUCAAACUAAAUAACAUUAGAACAUAGAUAACUUUGUGCUACAUACCUGGAUUUUAUUCCUCCACCAUUCAUCUGAUGCAUCAACAAUAUUUUUAGUGAGAUUCCAACCAAGGCCAGUUUCCUUCCCAAUCAGAUCUUUCCAUAAUUUCCAUUCUUUUUUUAGUAAAUCCCACUUGUUCUUCAAUUGUGAUUUGUCAUAGUUAUUUCCAGUCUCUGCAUGAAAGUUUGCAACCAAGCUAGCCCAUCCUUCUUUAUUAAAGUGAGUACCAGGCCUUUGUCCUUUCCCAACUUCUUUGAUACACAAGUCGCAAAAUAUAGCUACGGUUUGAGGAUUCCAGGUAGCUGAUUUAGUUCCACUUUGCCCAUUUUCAAGGUUGAUCAUCUCAAUGCAAUUGUCACCAGUAAUCUUCUUUCUUCCCAUGUUUACUAAAGAAUUAUAAAGUAUAUGCACCAAUAUACAAAUUACAUACACCUCUUAGGAACUACUGAAAUAACCAAACAAUAGCAUCAAAACUAUAUAUAGCUAUAUCUAAAUGCUUAGGAACUGUGGCUAACAGACUAGAANNNNNNNNNNNNNNNNNNNNNNNNNNNNNNNNNNNNNNNNNNNNNNNNNNNNNNNNNNNNNNNNNNNNNNNNNNNNNNNNNNNNNNNNNNNNNNNNNNNNNNNNNNNNNNNNNNNNNNNNNNNNNNNNNNNNNNNNNNNNNNNNNNNNNNNNNNNNNNNNNNNNNNNNNNNNNNNNNNNNNNNNNNNNNNNNNNNNNNNNNNNNNNNNNNNNNNNNNNNNNNNNNNNNNNNNNNNNNNNNNNNNNNNNNNNNNNNNNNNNNNNNNNNNNNNNNNNNNNNNNNNNNNNNNNNNNNNNNNNNNNNNNNNNNNNNNNNNNNNNNNNNNNNNNNNNNNNNNNNNNNNNNNNNNNNNNNNNNNNNNNNNNNNNNNNNNNNNNNNNNNNNNNNNNNNNNNNNNNNNNAAUUCGGCUUCAAGUUAUAUAUCUAGUGAGCAUAUGGAUCAAUUAUAUUCCCAAACCAAUUAAUAUAAACCAAUUCACAUGAUUCAUUAAUUCAUUACAUAGCACACGAGAACGACAAUUCAAAAUUUCAUACCAUGAAAACACCAAUUCAAUGUUUCAGAGAAUACUACUGACCUAUUUGCAGAGAAAUCGCCUCUUCAAGAUGGCACCUGCAAUCAACCUUUUGGCCUCCCUACAAUAGAAUUAUAAAUAUAUCAAUUCAUGUAUAAGUUAAUAGGGAUUAUAUAUAACCAGAGAAAGAUAGAAACAUAGAGAUAACCUUGAUAAAACGAGAUUGAGAAGAACGGCAUAAGGAGGAACACCUUUGCAGAAUUUAUAUAAGAGACAAACCCUAGAAUUGAAAGAAGGCAUCGCGCCCAAAUUGAGGAGAAAUAGGCAAAAUGGCGGGCAGAUUUGACAGAAAAACAUAGCAAACGCGUGUAGAUUUGAGAGGAAAACGGAGCAAGAGCGCGAAUCAGAUUUGGAUUUGGCGCUGGGUAUUUUAGGAUUUCACAAUUGUAAGCGAGUCAUCCGCGUCUUCUCCGAGCGUUUCGGAAAACCAGAUCUGAAAAAGCAGGUCGCGACCUGCUUAUGAAAAUUGAGGUUUUGCACCGUGAUUUUUAUAAAAACACGGGUUUAGAAAAUUUACCAAACGGGCUGAAAGCCCAAAACGUUAAAAAUAAGCUAAAAUUUUCACGAAACCGUAAUCCCAAACGGAGCCUUACACCUCCUUUUUACUUUUCAAUAUAAACAUUUGCUCACUAGACCUCAUUUCAAAUUCCUAACAUAACCUUAGUUAUUUAUUGACAUAUAUUUCAAUCAAUUAAUUAUCUCUUCUUCACUCAAUGGACCUCUCAUUCUUUGUUUUUUUUUUUUUUUCAUUUUUUUUUCAACAUCCAUUAUCCCUACCUUCAUUUUUUUAUUAUUUUUUUCAUGCAAGAAAAUUUUCUAUCAUGAACUAUUCUAUAUAUCUUUUUAAUUGUUUUUAUCUUUUGUAUGUGUUAUUUUUUCUCCAUUUUUUUUCUUUUGAAUAAUUUGAUCUUUAUUUUGUACCUCAUAAUAAAUUAUUUCAAUAUAUAUAUACAUAUAUAUAUUUUCUAUGAUCGAUAGAUAUUAUUAUUAUUUUUGCAAAAAAAAUUAUGCACCUUGAAGUACGUAUAUGCGUUCAACAUGUAUGAUAAUACAAAAUUUUAUGUCACAUGAUCGAUAUUGAUAAUUAUUUUUUUGCUCUUAUAAACUGUAUAUAUGCUUUAAUAAAAAUAAAUUGGAAAACAAAAAUAUAUAAGGAAAAUAAUAAAGAAUGUAAUCAAUUAUUAUUGAAUUGAAAAUUAAGUCUAAAGAGAAUAAAUAUAAUAUUUUCUUUUGUAUAAUUAUUGUCUUUAAUAGUCAUUAUGUAUGAGGAUGUAUAUGUCAGUUAAUAAUUCACAAUAUAAUGAGGGUUAGUAAGCAAAUUUAGAGGUCAUAAUAGCCGCACUUUAGAAAGAAUUUCCUCAUACAAUUGACUAUGAUCUAUAAUCAUUAAAAACUUCAUUAAUCAUCAAUCUAAACACAAAAUCCAUGUUGAAUGUAUGAAAAGAAAGACACCACAAAUUAGUGAUGCAAAUUUUUAGAAAAGCAAAGUCAACACUCAAAUUAGGGCUUAUCUGUCUUCUCUUCAUCCUCACUUUAGUGUAAAUACACGUCGUGUAAAUACACGUCGUGCAUACAAGAAUUUCCACAAAACCAUACUAUUAAACAAAUUGAAUUGUAACUCCAAUCCAACCAUCAUCUUCUUCCCUGCCAUCAUGGCCGCCCCUCUCUGAUAUUUGAUCCGCCGCUGUUUGCCCAAUGAAGCGUCGGUGAAUAAAACUUCUCAUGUUGUUUCGUGUUUUCCCUUCCUUCGUGAAAGCGUCUUCCACACUAUUUAACGUGGGAAAACAAUAACUGCAAAUCAGUUUUCUCUAAAAAAUGUAACUCUUUUAUUCUCUUAGAUUACCGUUGUACCGUCUUUUUAUUAUAUCAAGCUUUUGUAAACUUAUAUUAAAAGAGGGGUAAUCAAAGGCUUUAUGAAAAUUUAACCUUUGGCGGUUCUAUAAGCCAAAUUGGCUUAAUUAAUACUGAUUUUGUUAUAAUAUUUCAUUAGUGUUUUAUAAAAAUUUAUGAUAAAAUUAAGAAAUUAUUAUUUAAAAUUUAAAAAUAUUUAUUAUUAUAAACGGAUCGAAUUAACGGGUUGUGUAUCCGUUAACCCGUCAGAUCCGGAUUUGGAUCGACCUAUCAAUGAUUCGGUGGGUAACAGAUCAGAUCCGGAUCUAAAAUUUCUAUUACGGAUCUGGAUUCGGAUCCGGAUCGAUCCAGUCACAAAAUCAAAUUUCAAAAUUCCCAUCAACCUAUGUACUCUUAGGGUGUUCUUCCCACAAACAAAAUUUUCAACAUUCUACAUAUUUUUGCUGACCAUAAUACCCUCCUUUUCCCGAUCUCUCCUUCUCUCUUCCUUCUCAGUUCUUCUACAGAUCUCUCUCUCUCUCNNNNNNNNNNNNNNNNNNNNAUAUCUCUCUCUCUCUCUCUCUCUCUCUCUCUCUCUCUCUCUCUCCCCUCGCUGCAAAGAUCUGACCAAAGAGAGGAGGUCGUCGUUGACGGCAAAGAAGAGGUUGGUGAAGCCCCAGUCGGCGCUGAAAUCGUCGUUGGCGAAGCCGUCGACGCUCAGCGAGGCCCAAUCCGGCGUUCGGUGGUUGGAUUCGAGUUCGAGUUCGAGUUUUUCGUCUAAUUGCUAUCAAUUGAAGAGUGAUUUGAAUCUAUGGAUUGCUGCUACGGGUGCUAUGCAUUUGUAUCAAGCUUACACGGAACAAAUGUGAGCAUGGAUUUGAUGUAAACCCAUGCAAUUCCAUGGGUGGUGCUAUUCAAGGUCGGAGUUCCUCUUUCCCUGCUUACAAACUUGAUUUGAAAUUGGCAAAUUUCUAGACCCAAGUAUGUGUUUCUACCAUAUCAUUCUCUAUUGAACAUUAUCGUGAUUGGCCCCUCCUCUUAAUCAAAUUAAGGAAAUUUUAAUAUUUGUUAUUAUGAGCAAUGAUCCUAGGCCAACAAAGAGUACUGAGGCUAGGAUUUUGCAAAUGGAGAUUUCUGGGAAUAUUGCUGAGAACAAUGCUAUGGACGUUAGACCCCUUACUGCCCCGAUAAAGCUCAGCUAGGAAGCAAUACUCGAUUGCUAUGUACAUGGUCAUGAGGCCCAAUAGGUUUAUUGAUAUAUACCUUGAUUAAUGGCAUCGCCAUCUCUCACUUAAUUCUUUGCUUUUGUUAUAGAGAACCCAUUAAUUCAUGAUACUCAACAAAGUAACAGUAUUUCUGGAGAUAAAGUAUGGUCUUAUAAUAUUCAAUGCUAAUGUUGAUGGAGUUUUUUGUUUGCAGAGCAUAUAUCGGUUGUUUUGUGUUGAAUGCAGCAGAGCAAUAUAUAUUGGUUUGGUUGUUGUUGUUGGUGAGGGGUUUGCGGUGGAGAAAACGCAUGUCGUCUGCCCCUACUGCCUCUAGUAUACCCCUUACUGCCCCCAGUAGACCACCAGACAGAUCUCCUAUAGCCCCCAGUAGACCCUCCUACUGCCCCCAGUAGACCCCCCCUACUGACCCUAGUAGACCCUCCUACUGCCCAUAGUAGACCCUUAGACAGACCUCCUACUGCCCCCAGUAGAUCCCCUACUGCCUCAAUAGACCCUCAUACUGCCCUAUUAGAUCCUCCUACUGCCCCAGUAGACCCUCAUACUGCCCCAGUACCCUGGGCAGACCUCCUACUUCCCCUAGUAAACCCCCUACUGCCCUAGUAGACCCUCAUACUGCCCCAGUAGACCCUCCUACUGCCCCCAAUAGAUCCCCUAGCUUUCGUCGGAGCCGGUCAACGGUCGCCGGAGCCCGGUCAACCGUCGUCGGAGUCCGGUCAACGUCAUUGGUCGUGAAAAUCCAGUCAUAGAAACUUUAUUUUAUAAUAGACUCUUAUAAUGGUCUAUUGUAGUUUAUUUAAUUCAUUAAGGGUAUAUUUGUUUUUCUGCUGUUUAAAUUGGCUCUUGGGAAUUUUAAAAUCUGAUUUUGUUAGUGGGAAUAAAAUUUUUAAAAUUAAGGCUAGUGGGCAUUGUCCCAUAUAUUUAUUCUCUGUAGAUGAACAAAUACAAUACAUGUAUGCAUGUUGAAAAUAUUGUACCCCAUGUCGAGUGUUCAUAAUCAUUAAUGGAAUCUCAAGGAAACAACCCUAAACAAGGAAAAAAGAAGAAGAAGAAGAAGCAGCCGCGCGCCAGCAAAUCUAAGUUCCACAGCGUGAGGCUGUCUCUUCUCAGAAUUUGUGGCCGUGAUGGUGGUACGUGGCUGGGUAAUUAGCCAUCUCAAAGAACCCCACGAUGGCAAUCAAUUAAUUUCAGUUUGACUAAAUUAAAAUCAUUGCAUGAAAUACUACCACGUUUUCCCUACGGACCAACUCUCUCUCUCUCUCUGUUUGUUUUUGUUGUGGAAAACGAAAUUCACAUGGGUGGCCAAUAAUGCUGAUCUAUAUAUAAGUAGCAACAGCAUCACAAGCUCUUCAAGUUAAGCUAGCCUUUUAUAUUUACACAAGCGCUUUAAAUUCUUAAACAAUAAACAUUCAAGUAUUUUUCUUGAGUUUCAGACUCGGAAAAAAAAAAUUUGGCUUGAAGUUUUCUAAAUUUCAUGUUAAAUAUGUCUUCCCAAGCUCAAACCUCAAAAGACGUCACUGCUGAAGUCCGAGGUUCAGCCAACUUUUCUGAUGGUGUUUGGGGCGAUCUUUUUCUAUCACACGCUUCUCUGGUGCGUAAGAAGUAACUAGUAUAUAUAUCAUUAUUUUUUGCCACAUAUGUUUAAGAUAUUAUUUUAGUUUUGAAUUAAUGUAUGACUUAAUUACAAUUUGCAAUUCUAUUUGUUUGCAUAUGCAGGAAAAUGAUACUAAAACUGAGCAGCAGGUCCAAGAAUUGAAGGAAGAAGUGAGGACGAUGCUAAUGUCUCCAGUUAAAAAGAUUUCACAAAAAUUGGAAUUGAUUGAUGACAUUACGCGCUUAGGAGUGUCCCGCCAUUUUGAAGAAGAGACUGAUGAAAUUUUGCAGAAGGUUUAUGAUAACGUUUAUCAUGCUAAUGACCUGUAUGAUAAAGAGCUUUACUUCACAAGUCUUGUCUUUCGUUUGGUUAGACAACAAGGUUAUAACAUAUCAUGCGGUACGCUAGCUAUUUCUAACUUUGUGUCAUUGUAUAGGGUAAAAUAUUGCAUAGUCCUUGUGGUUUGAAGUCGACAUCUGUUUAAUCCUUAUGGUUUUAUUUUAAUCUGCGUAGUCCUUAAAGUCAGGAUUUUUUAUCCAAAUAGUCCUUAUGGUUUUAUUUUAAUCUGAAUAGUCUUUAAAGUCAUGAUUUUUCAUCCAAAUAGUCCUUAUGGUUUUAUUUUAAUCUGAAUAGUCCUUAAAGUCAUGAUUUCUCAUCCAAAUAGUCCUUAUGGCAUUUAACUGAGAAAAUUGUCAGAAAGACUAUUUGGAUGAAAAAUCAUGACUUUAAGGAUUAUUCAGAUUAAAAUAAAACCAUAAAGACUAUUUGGAUGAAAAAUCAUGACUUUAAAGACUAUUCAGAUUAAAAUAAAACCAUAAGGACUAUUUGGAUAAAAAAUCCUGACUUUAAGGACUAUUCAGAUUAAAAUAAAACCACAAGGACUAAACAGAUGUCGACUUCAAACCACAAGGACUAAAUAAAUUUCAAUUAUAUAUAUAUCUAUCAAUUGUUUUAGAAGAGUUUCCUCUAAUCAUGUGACGUUUGUGAAGCGCAGAAAUAUUCAGCAAAUUCAAAAACGGUGAAGGAAAAUUCAAGGAGUCACUUGUCAAUGAUGUAGUAGGACUACUAAGCUUGUAUGAAGCCACACACCUUAUGAUGCAUGGAGAAGACAUAUUGGAAGAGGCACUAACAUUCGCCACCACUCAUCUCGAGUCUGCAAUGCACAGCUUAAGCUCCUUACUUUUGAAACAAGUAAAGCAUGCCUUGUAUCAGCCCUAUUGGAAAGGCCUACCAAGGAUUGAAGCAGUUCAUUAUCUGUCUAUCUAUGGGGAAAUGGAUUCACACAAUAAAGCUCUGCUAUCUCUUGCAAAGUUGGAUUUCAACCUAGUCCAGAAUGUCCAUCAGAAUGAACUAAGUGAUAUUGCAAGGUUAAUCCACAAAUUAUUAUCAGUUAGAUAUAUAUCAGUAAUACUAUAAACAUGCUAAGUGGUUAGUUCUACGAGUAACUUUUUUGUUUUUGAGAAUUGUUUCAGGUGGUGGAAGGACUUGGAUUUUGUGAACAAACUACCUUUUGCUAGAGACAGGAUGGUUGAGUCUUACUUUUGGGCUUUGGCAGUCUACUUUGAACCUGAGUAUCACCUUGCUAGGAUGAUGUUGUGUAAAUUUGUUGCUAUAAUAACAAUCGUUGAUGACAUUUAUGAUGUUUAUGGCACGUACGAAGAACUAGAGCUUUUUACCGAAGCUGUCGAGAGGUUUAAAUUAAAUUUGACAAACUAUUUUUUUAAUUCCUAUUACAUGUAAUUAAUCGUUUAUCAUGUAAGAUCAUCACUUGACACAGUUUAACUAAAUUUGAUAAGGUGGAACAUCUCCGCUGCCGAUCAGCUGCCAGGUUAUAUGAGAGUUUGUUAUGAGGCGCUGCUGAAUGUGUAUACUGACAUUGAAGAAAAGCUUGCAAUGAAGGGAAACUUGUAUCGCAUCCGCUACGGUAGAGAAGCAGUAAGACGUACUACUAAUCCUAAUAUAUCUUGUUCGUUUUGUAAUUAUCAAAGAGACUAGAUAUAAUUGAUUUGUUUUAUGCUCUCAGUUUAAAGUUCAAGUUAGAGCUUACUUCCAGGAAGCCAAAUGGUUCAAACAAAAUUACACACCAACGAUGGAUGAAUAUAUGGAAGUAGAACUUAAUACGUCCUUCUUCGCGUUCUCAACCACAGUGUUUCUUGGACUGGGAGCUAUUGUGACAGAAGACUCCAUGGAUUGGGUGUUCGAUGACCCUAAGAUUGUAAAGGCUACAUCAGUAGUCGGCAGACUCUUGAAUGAUAUAGUCGGCCACAAGGUACAUCCUCAUAUUUGCAUCAGUAUUCAGACUACUACUGUCCUCAAUCGAUCUUUGGAUCUUAUAACCGUAGCCUUGUGAUUGUAAAUGUAUGUAGUUUGAGCAAAAAAGAGAACAUAUUGCUUCAUCAGUGGAAUGCUACAUGAACCAAUAUGGUGUCACAGAGGAAAAAGCGAAAACUGAGCUAAUGAAGCAAGUCAAUGACGCCUGGAAAGAUAUAAACGAAGAGUGGCUCCAGGCCAACACGAGUAUCCCGAAGACCCUACGAUGGUUUAUUCUAAAUCUUGCUCGUUCUGGCGAAGUUAUCUACAAAAAUGAAGAUGUGUUCACUCAUUCUAAAACUGUACUCAAGAGUUGUCUUGUCUCUCUAUUCGUCGAACCCGUGCCUGUGUAAACUUUUUUUGGUAAUGUCGUGCUUGAGUAAACUUGAUAUAAAGUCAUGUCUCCAAAGUCCUGUGAGUUUCAAAGACAACAGGUUCAUGCUUGCUGGCCCUUGAAACAACUGUACGUUUGAAUAGAAGAGUUGAUUGUAUUGUCUGUUGAAUUCAUAAACAUCAAUGGAAUUGUAAGUGUGAUACGUGAAUCCUUUCCACUCCCAAAUCUGAAACUAUAUCUCAAUUCAUCUAAUCCUUGAUCCUAAUUCCUAAAUCGUGCCCAGAUUCAUUACCCUCGUGUUCACCCAAACUGAUUAAUCCCAAUUUUGCCCCACGACUUCCCCCAAUUGGAUCGUUAACCCCCAACUUUUGCUGUCUUCUCUGUUCGUAAACUUAAUCCUUAACUUGCCCUCUUCUUCUGCAACAACACGACUUUGGCGCUUCGACACCGUUGGACUUCUUGAUUCGUUGUCUGCCACUGCGCCCCUUAAUUCUCAAGUUUUCUGUCAUCUGUUUAUUCUUGUUUUUUUUUUUUGGUCAAUAGAGAUCAACGCAUUAAAUCAAAGUCAGAAGACAACACAGUACAAUUGAAAGCAAAACAAAGAGAACAGAAACAGAACAAACAAACAAAAAAGAAAGAAAGAAAAGCCGCCAGAAAACUUGAAACACUAAUAGUUAGCUAGCUCGCACAGCUAGCUCCAAAGCCAGAUUGAGGAGGACCAGGCAAUCCAUCACUCCUUAAAACAUUGAUCAGAGAGUUUAGAGGCCUGCUGGCCCAUUCCUGAGAGCACAAACUCUGGAUGGCAAGCUUAGCCGCUGCAUUUGCAAGGAAGUUAGCUUCUCAUGGAACCCAGUUCCAAUGAAUCCUUCUGAAAAGUGGCACCAAGUGAGCAACCUUCUUUAGGAUAGGGGAGAUUCUCCAACAAGGAGAAGCUAAAGAUUCAUUUAGAGCCUUGAUCACCUCCUAACAAUCUCCUUCGACAAUAAUAUGCUCCAAUUUCAGAACCACCGCCAUUUUGACACCACAAAGAAGCGCCUCAGCCUCAGCUUCUACAGCCGAAUUGUGAGACCGAAAGAGGCUAGCCCCUGCAAUAGACACACCCAUAUGACUGUGAAUAAUAACUCCCGAGCCAUGUAUUGUUGUGGUUUGACUCCUUCCAGGCAUCGUCAAAAUUGAUUUUCACCACAUUUACAAGAGGGGGAACCCACAAAGAAAUGGGUCUUCAAAUAGACUGAGAGGAUUGAAACAAAGACAUCCUAGCUUCUUCCCAGUUCAAAAUACCUCUUUGAAUAUUUUCAAUCACAAGACUAGGGUUUGGAGUACUAUUUCUCAUAACCACUGAACACCUAUACUUCUAAAUCUCCCACAAAUGCAAACAGACAAGAUUAAGCACAUCCUCUCUUUCACAAGAAAACAUACCAACAUUCUUAUGAAUUUCCAACAACCACUCCUCAAGAUGAGAAAUCCUUCCCCUGUCAGGAGUGUAGCCUAGGGAGCACCCGAACCACACAGUUAAAGUUUAGGGACAAUGAAACAAGCAAUACUCAAUCAUCUCUGGAUGAUCACCACAUAUAGCACAAAUUGGAGUUUUCACAAUUUUCCUUCGGAAGAGACACCACAUGGAAGGCAGGGCAUUUGACAACGCUCUCCACAUGAAGUUAGUUAUCUUGGGAGCCAAACUUGGCUUCCAAAUCAAUUUCCAUAUUCUGACAUCAAAAGAGUGGGAAGAGGAAGGCUUACUUACAUGCGGCUUCUUCUGGAAUUCGAAAAGCUUAUGAUAGCCACUUUUUACAGAAUAGUUUCCCGACUUUGUAUAAGGCCACACCAAUGCAUCAUCAUCAGCUGCAUUUCCAAUUGGAAUAGCCUUGAUUGUUGUGAUAUCAUUUUCCUCCAAAAAUGGCUCAAUGUGAGAAAUAUUCCAAUUUCUAUCCUCAUUAAUUACAUCAGCCACAGCCAAGGCAGUGAAGCGAUUAGAGGUAAUAAUAGGUUUGAUCAGUCCCCAAUUAGAAUUCGGAACCCAUCUAUCGGUCCAAACAUCCACAUUUUUUUCACUAUUAAUCUGCCACAGAGCAUGCUCACUUAUCGUCUCACGACCUGCUAAAAGGCUGUUCCAUACCCAAGAAGGCCGAGAACCUUUCUUUGCUUUCAAGAAAUUGGAGUUUGGGAAGUAUCUUGCUUUCAUGACUUUACCCCAUAGAGAAUUCGGUCUGUUGAUCAGUCUCCAUCACUGUUUAGUCAACAAAGCCUUGUUGUAAGUGUGAAGAUCUUUAAAGCCAAUGCCACCCUCUAACUUGCUUGUGCACAACGGGUCCCAAGCCUUCCAAUGAAGCUUGUCCUUUGAGUCCGAGAAACCCCACCAGAAAAUUGAGAUGUCAGAAUUAAAAGCUUUGCACAAAGUAACUGGUAAAAGAAAAAUGGACAUAGGGUAGGCUGGGAUUGCCAUAGCCACCGCUUUGAUGAGCACCUCCCUUCCAGCUUGUGAGAGAACAUUAGCUUUCCAACCCUCCAAUUUCUGCUUAAUUCUUUCACGGAUGUAGGCCGAAGCACUCUUCUUUGAGUUUCCCCAAUGAGUAGGGAGACCAAGAUAAAUACCUGGCUUAUCUGAAAUAGGGAUGUUAAGUGUGGAAGCUAUUGAUUCCUUAAGCUGCAAAGGAGUGAAAACUGAGACGAAAAUAGAGGAUUUUCCAAGAUUGAUUGAUUGCCCUGAAGCUGUGCAGUAGGAGUCAAGAAUGACUUUAAGAGAGUUGCAGUUUGCUGGGGUGGCUUUAAGGAAGAACAGAGAAUCAUCUGCGAAUAGGAGAUGAGAAAGACCAGGACAUCCCGUACUCAAUUUGAUUUGUUGAAGAUGAUUGGAGCAAGUGGCUGCAAUGAUGGAUUUGGAAAGGACUUCCCCUACAAUAAGGAAAAGGUAGGGAGAGAAAGGGUCUCCUUGCAUGAGUCCCCUUGCAUGAGUCCCCUCGUGGGAGUGAAGGAUUGGCCCUGCUUCCCAUUAAUUAGAAUUGAGAAAGACACAGAAGAGACCACUUUCAUAACCAGGCGAACCUAGUCGGAACAGAAACCAAAUUUCAACAAAGCAGCCUCAAGAAAGUUCCAUUCUACCCUGUCACAAGCUUUGUUCAUAUCCAACUUUAAAGCAAACUUAUGAUCAACCUUGGACUUCUUCAACUUCAAAUAAUGGUAGGCUUCAUGAGCAAGAAUUAGGUUGUCCUGGAUUUGGCACCUUGGCACGAACGCAUUCUGGCGUUCAAAGAUUAGAUGAGGGAGAAGUGGCUUAAGUCUGUUCACUAGCAACUUGGAAAUGAUCUUGAUGGAGCUAUUACAUAAGUUGAUAGGCUUGAAUUGAGAGACACUCUCCGAAUGAGGAACCUUGGGGAUUAAGACAAUAUUUGUCUUGCGGAUGUUAUUCACUAAGAACUCACCCCUGUAAAAACAAUUAACAGCAGAGUUGACAUUAUCACACACAAUUUCCCAAUAUUUCGAGUAAAAGAAACUUGGAAAGGAAUCUGGUCCCGGAGCCUUGAAAGUCCCCAAUUGAGUAACAGCUUUUUGAACCUCAUAAGCCGAAAAAGGUCAAGAGAGAUCCAAAUUUUGUUCAUCAAAUACAGAGGAAUGAACAUUAUCUAGAGCAUUUCCCCAACACCUAGAGCCAGAAGUUGUGUAUAAAUCACCAAAAAACUUGGUGAAGGCAUUUCUGACCUCUAAGUCACCACUGAUCCAAAUAUUAGCACCCAAGCACAGGCUGCUAAUUCUAUUCAUCUGCCUCCUGAAAAUUGUAGACAAGUGAAAAACUUUGAAUUAUGAUCACCCUCUAGCAGCCAAUUUAUCCUGGAUCUCUGCUUCUAAAAAGAUUCCUCAAGGUUCUAGGUGUGGUUUAUCUCCUGAAGCAAAGCCUGCUCCUUUUCCUUCGAGUCACACAAGACCGAACCCUCUUGUAAAGAUAGAAGGUCAUUUUGGAGACUCUCAACACGAAGCUUGUUAUUUGGAAACUUGACCUUGCUCCACCUAGCUAAAUCAAAUUUGCAAGAUUCCAGAUUCUCACUCCAUCUCCAAAAAGGAUCAGAGCACUCCGACUUCCAACAAGCAGCCGCUACUUCAUCAUAAUCCGGAUCCUUCACCCAACUGGCCUCAAAGCUGAAAGGCUUUUUAAAUCUCUCUACUUUUGCCUGGAAGUAUAGAAUCAUAGGGCAAUGAUGUGACCCAAUUCUCGGUUUAUGUUUGACAAAAGACUUCGGCCAAUCAUGAAGCCAUUCAGCAUUCUCAAUUGCUCGGUCCAAACGCUCCCUGAUAAUCUCAUUGACAUCUUCUCGCCUGUUUUCCCAUGUGAGGCGAGGACCUGUGAAAUGGAGAUCAAGUAAACUAUUGUUGUCCAUAAAAUUCUUCAAAAAACGAGUUCUACUCCAACUCCAGGAAACACCUCCCUCCUUCUCAUCCAUGGAAACAAUUUCAUUAAAAUCCCCAAUCCAGACCCAAGCACUAGGAUUAGAAAAAGCAAGAUUCUCAAUUGAGGACCAUAAAGGAAGCUUGUCUUCAUUGUAAGGAGGGCCAUAGAAGAAAGUGACCCGAGUAGGAGCAUCGACUGAAGAGAACUUAAUCACAGUAUCAAUCAAAUUCUGACUCCUGAAAAUAAUCUCAACAUCAACUUCAGGGCGCCACUAAAUAGCUAAACCACCAACAUAAAUUCGAGACGGCAACACAGUCUCCCCCUUGUAGAAUUUAAACUGGCCCCACAAUCUAUUAACCCUGAAAUUCGAUUGUUUAGUUUCAUAGAGAAAAACCACGGACGGCGAAUGAGAGCGAAUGAGCUGUCCAAGUUUCUGGACUGUCAAGGCUCGUCCUAGACCAUGACAGUUCCAGGAAAGGAUUUGACUCAUUGACUCCUUAUGGCUGUAGGACAGCCACCACCGCCCUGGAGAGAGGAUUGCUCCUCCAGCUCAACAACCACAUCAGACAAAACAUUGCUCCCCUCUGCAAUUGGACCUCAUGAAGAUUCUAAUCACUGUUGAUCAAACCCGCCUCAGUCCUAAACCCAGGCUUCUUCCGCUGCCUAUAAACUUCUCUUCUAACCCCAGGUAAAGAUCCAUGUACCCUUCCACCAAUAGAAGCACUUCCACGAGAGCUGGGUCUUCCCCUUUUUCAAGAAAGCCUAGAUGAAGAAAUCGGAUACGAAGCCUCCAGAGACGAUAAAAGCUUUGUUUUGGACCCCGACACAUCAAGACCUGGAUUUUGGACAUGGUUGGAUUGGAUAGAGGGUGGAGGUGAGAGCACAGAAGAAGAUGGGGAAACAAGUUUGGGGUUAUGGAUUUGCGGCAAGGGAAGUUCACCAAUGAUUGGAAUAUGGUUAAGUGAAUCGGGGUUAAGUGAAAGAGGGUUUGUGUUGAUAGGGGAGAGGGUGAGAAUGGGCUUAGAAGACAAGGGCCCAAGUCGGGAAAGGCCUAAAUUGAUAAAAUGUGAGCAGGGUAAAGCAAGGCUGGGCCUGGGAUGGCAAUCUUGAGACUGAGAGUGCGAAAUGGGCCUUGAGGAUAUGAUAGAGCACUUUAGGGCCCACUCUUCAUUGGUUUUCGCCGAGAUGAUGGCAAUCUUUAACCAAUUAGGGCUAGGAAAAGACUCAGACAAGGCAUAGCUGGAAUUCAUAGAUGAAAACCAAGCCCGAAGCCUGGGGUUGGAAGAGGUCACGAGGGUGGCAUCAAAAUUUGAACCCUAUUCACAGAAACAACGCAGGCUAGAGACCUGGCUUUGUACAAAGUUCAGAGCAUCAACAGUGACAGGAGAGGGGUCAUAGCUUCUAGGGCUCACAAAAGCCAAAGCCAAAUUUGAAAGUUCCCCAGCAUGGACCACAAUCUCAGACUCCCUGACACAAGGCUCAUUCAAACUCGCUGCAUUCUAAGUUCGACCCUGUGAUCAAGAGUGACUGUUGGGGUGGCUGUAUGGGGAUGAGUUUGACGACCACCGGGUUUUUGGUUUCCGUCAAACUACACUCGCCGGCCUGUCCAACCACGACUGUUGCUUCUUGGAAGAAACACCCUUCCUCAUCCACGGACCAUACCACUGGAUUUCACUUUCGACUUCCUCUGGGCAAACUAGGUGUAGAUUUUUCCAGCCAGCCAUGUUAUGACCCAGUCUACUGCACUUGUAGCAAAAAUCUCUCAGCCCCUCAUAAGCGAACUCCACCCUAGUUUUUGUGUAGGAGUUCAGCGGCAACCAGAAACUGGUGGGCAAAGGAUUUCUAGAGUCGAUCAGGACCUUGACUCUAAGAAAACCCCUCAACUUUAAAUCCACCGAGGAGUCUUCAAGCUCCAGAACAGUCUCAAUCUCAGCACCAAUCAUCUCAACAUUCUUUUGGUUCAUCUUUUCCCUAGUCAAGCCAGAAAUUUAGACCCAGUACCACACUUUAUGAAAGUGAGCAUCUCUAGUAGUGAGGUUAGGGAGCCAACGUACCACAUUGAAUCUCAUGUUGUCAACGUGCCAAGGGCAGUCCUCAAGAAGAGUCAAGACACUUUCUGGUGGGACUCUGAUAGAGAAAACAUUGUGGUGGAGGUAAUUAAUCUUGUAGUUUCCCACUUCCUUCCAGGCAGUGCGUAUGUAGAGCACCCUUAAUUCCACCAAUGUUUGGAACCUCAUCAGCUAGCAGAGCUCCGAGCAGAGACACCCCGUUCUCAACCUCAUCAAGUGAGCAUGAGUUUUCCAGUCUGGAAGCAAAAGCAGACAUGUUGGAAAUUAAGAAACAGAUCUGUCUCUCAAAAGAAAACACCAAAACAAAAGCAAAACAAAGCUACCAUGUGUGGGUAUAGAGGGAACUCCAAAAUAAUGGAGAGAAUGAAAGCUGUUUAUUCUUGUUGUCUUGCAAAUUUCCAGUGUUCUGAACUUUUCCUGUACUUUCAAGACUUCCUGUGCUGGGUCUUUUUGUUGUGUUGUUUUGUUCUGUAUAUACUCUAGGCUCUACUCGAAAUUGUUCAGUGUAUGCGUUGGCUUAGGGGUCAUCAUUUGGUCCGCGGUAGUAAAAGCAUGUAGACGGUCGGCCUGAAGGGCCAAAGCCCAGCCCGGCCCAUAGAAAAGCCCAUCUCGACCCGACCCAUAGGGCAUGAGGCCGGGCUAGGGCGGAGGGUUCAAAGCCUUGGCCCGACUCAUUACAUGCCCAUCAAAGCCCGCCUGGCCCGGCCCUAAAAAGCCCGCCCAAAAACCCUCUCCAAAGCCCUAUUAAUUGUUUUAUAAAUUUUUUUUAUAGAGUCAAUAGUUAAAUAUGUGAACUUAAUUAAUGCAUUAAGUCAUAAUUUAUUUUGAUUUUUUUAUUACAUUUAGUUCAAUCAUUAAUAAAUCUAACUUUUUUUUUUUUAUAGUUUUUUUGUUUUAUUUGAUAAAAUUUUAUUAGAUAUAUGUAUAUAAUAUAUCCGGUUCGGCCCAUCUAAAAAGCUCGGCUUGGCCCUAAUAAUCCCAUAAGGCCCGGGCCCAUGGGCUUUGAUUUUUUUGAAUAGCCCGGCCCAGCCUAGCCUGAGCCCAUAAGACUUGAGUAGGUGUAACACCCUGACCUUAAACUUGAUUAAUUAAGUAAACAAAUUAAUUAAUUCCCAAACACCAUCACAGUUGCAGCACAAUUUGAAUAGCAAACAAAAUUCAUAAUUAUCAAUCACCUUUUCAAAACAUGGUCAAACUCAACACCAGCAUUAGCCCAACAGUACUCAUAAUCCAUAAUCACAGUCAUUGUUCAAAAUUGAAAUUUAGUUACCAUAGGUGACGUCAAGUUUACCUUUUCGUCUCUAACAAUAGCCAUGACCGACUAGUUGUCGAUUUCUAAUCUCCUUCAACUCGAUUUCUCACAUAACGAACUGAAUGACGACGGCCAAUGUCUUCCAUUGAUUGCCAUUCGACUAUUUGUUGCAAGAUCAAAAGAGCCCGAUGUCACUUGAGAAACGUCGUUCGGAUAUUCAUCGUCUUACGAAGUUGAACACCAGCGAAUUUAGGGAGAGCUUUGGGAGGUCGAUGCGAUCUCCCCUCACUUGUUCUCUAGAGAACUUGGGAGAUACCAGGCGUAUCUCGACUCAGGCCGUCGGGUCUUUCUAGAUUGAGGAUCCUCCACUCCCCUUCCUCGGUAGGUCGGUGAGCAAUAUAUCACCGAGUAGGUCGGUGUUCUCCCUCUCUCUUAAACCUUCCUUUACUUUCUCUCUUCCUCUUUCUUCCAGAUUCUCGACCCUUCUCUUUUUCUCCAAAAAUAUCUAUGUCCCUUUCUCUCAUUUUAUUUAUUUUAAUUUUAUUUAUUUAUUCUACUAUUUAUACAGUAUCAAUAUAUGCUAACAGAAAAACAAUAAAUUAUUUAAGCCUAUACAUAUAUUGACUACAUGAGAUAGGCUUUGAUUAAUGUCCCUUUGAUAUCCAUCGACUAAAUUAAUGAUAGCAAUUUCUUUAUUUAGUAAUGUGGACACUCGACUUGUGAAAUCCUGAACUUUUAAAUAAUUUAUCUAAAAAUAUUUGUGUAUAUAUAUACACACACAUAUGAAGGUAAGUAAUAGUUCUGAAAACACAAACCAUUUUUCUUUACAAAGAAGAUGUUUUACAUAACUUACACAAUCAUUUGUUCAAAAGCCAAGGCCUACUGUGUUUGUUUUUAAAAGAAGGUUAAAUACAUACUUACGAUAUCUCCAUUCACAAAGCUUUGUUUAAAACCAAAGUAUUUACUAUAUCUAGUUAAAAGAAAGUUAAAUACAUAAUUGUAUGGUACCCUAUUCACAUAUAUUUUACAUAUUCCUAAUACACUAUAAUUCAGUUUUACAAAUAAUAGGAACUAGCUACAGCAAUCACUUCAUUUUGGGUUACAAUUGGCUGUAGAAACUAAUUGGAUUUGCUUGUAUGACUUUCAGCAACUCUAAGUUCCAGUUGUAGGUGUUCUAUUUCUUCCUUCAGCUUGCUUUGGAUCUUUGAUUAAACUUGCAACAUUUACAUAUCAACAAAUCAGUAAAAGAGAAAGUUACACAUGUUUUAUACUUUUUACCCUAUAUUAAAGUGUGCAGGCACACUUUUGCUUGGGUUUUACAUUUCUUACCCUAUGCCAAAGUGUGCAGCGACACAUUUGCUUGUGUUUUGCAUAUAGUUACCCUAUACCAAUGUGUGCAACCACACUUUUGCUUGUGUUUUAUACUUCUUACCCUAUACCAAAGUGUGCAACCACACUUUGGCUUGUGUUUUGCAUAUAGUUGCUGAAUGAGCAGCUGAAAACUUGGUCUCCAAAGUUCAAAAUUUCUGUUGGCAGAUAAGGAUAAACUUCAGCUGAUUUUUAUAGACAUAUUUGUGAAGCACAUUCACUAGUAUAAAUAGAGGUCUUCUCAUGAAGUAGUAACAAGUAGAGAAGUUCAGAAGUUAGAAUGAAAGUCAAGAGAGAAAAUUUAGAGUAGAAAAAGACUAGUAGAGGUCAGAAGCAAGUGAAAGAACCUAGUACUGAAGUUUCAGCUUCGGUAAAACAAGUUUGAGGUAGGGGAAGUUAUGGGGAAUCUCUUUGUUUUAUAAUCUUGUUAUCUUGCUUUGGAUUUGUACAUGUUGUUUGUUAAAGGUGGUUAUUAUGUUUAGCUUUUCAUCAUAUUAUUAUAUGAUCUUAUGUCAACAUCAUAUUACUAUUUGAUCUUAUGUUGAAUAAGAAAUGAAUGAAGUUAUGGGGUUGAGACUAUUACUUGAAAGGGACCAGCAAUUGUCUGCCUUUGUAUACAUAUAGGGAGAGAAGCCCUUUCAAUGUUAUAUUGAUAAAAUAAUCUCAUGGCAAGAAGAUACUGGUGACCAAGAAGAGUACAAGAGUACCAGCAACUGAAACCUAAAAUUAUGUGCAUACACUUAUAUUGAAAUUACAUGGAUGAGAUUUGUUCUACUGAGUUUUUUGGCUUACCCCUUUAUGAAUUUGUGCAGAUGUUACACUUGAGGGAUAAGACUUGAUGUCUAGAAAGAAUAUGAAGUCUAGGAGGAGGAGUGAAUCUAUAGCUUGCUGUUUUUUAUUCAAGUUUGUGUAAUAAGGCUACUUUCCUGUUUAUUGUAAGAAUAAUACUUAUGAAAUAAAGUUCUCCUUUACCAAGUCACUCUGGUUCUAAGUUUUUUCACAUAGCUUCUAUUUGUCAAAGGUUCUCUUAUCUUUGACAAAUCGAGGCUAUUCACGUCCUUACCCGGAAAAAAAUAUAUAUAUUCUCAAUUUCUGGGUCAGGGUGUGACACGACUAUUAUUACUAACGUUGUGUAUCAGGUAUUACAGUAGGGCCGGGCUGGCCGGGCUUUUUGACGAUCCCUAGAUGAAGUAACUGCUACUACUUUAGCGUCUAAAUUUUCUUUUGAUAGCUUUUAUUGCAUCUCUUCAGUUGGUCAGUCUGGGGGUUUGUUGCUAGGGAAAAUGUCUAUUAGCUUUAAAUUUGAAGAUUUUUUUUCCCACAAAUAAAAACAUAUUCUAAAAUUCCCAUCAACCCUAAAGCUCUUAGAUAUAUAUUCACACUAACAAAAUUUUUAUCUUUUUGUGUUUUUUUCCUUACCAAACUACCUUAAUUUCUAUCUCUCGUCACUGCUUUCUCCCACUCACUCUCUUUCAGAUCCUCUCUCUCUCUCUCUCUCUCUCUCUCUCUCUCUCUCUCUCUCUCUCUCUCUCUNNNNNNNNNNNNNNNNNNNNNNNNNNNNNNUGCCACCACCUCUUAACGGCUCCUCUCUCCACUCCCAACCCUCGCCAUCAAACACAUUGAUGUCACCAAAGAAUCACGCCGCCGGCACCUCUGACGCCGUUGGUGGCUUGUUGUGUGUUUCUUAGCCGCAACAAUAUGUUUUGCCUUCAAACGCCGCCGCGUCUCCUAUCUUGGUCUAGAGGGAGCUGGAGGGAGAUCACUAUGCCGAUUUCGGUAAUUUUCGGUAAGUCUAGGGUUGAUUUCCGGUGAGAUCGGGCUAGGCUCGGGCCAUGCUGGCAAGGCAUCGGUGAGGAUGACAACAACGAUGGUAUGCAUAUCUCAUAAGCUCAUUUCAUGAGGAAGAUGAGAUUGAAGAGGGUGCUAAUUCGGCGAUCAAAGAAGACGAGAGUUGCCGGAACGUGUCGUUGACACCAGAGAAGGCGAUGAGGGUUAUGGAGGCGAUGAGAAGGAUUUCGUUUGCUGGAGUGGCUUCAGAUUGGGCGGAUUGGGUCCCUGAAGAGAACUGGAUGGAUCAGCUUCACUUGCUCCGACAAUCACCCCAGAGUUAAGGUAUUGUUCCUGUAAGGCGUUGUUCAUGUUUUCUCGAAUUGAAUUGGAUUAAAAUUUGUGAAAUUGCUGCACUAUAUGUGUGGGAUGAUAUCAUUGAUAUUCCCCCAAUAAAUUAUAUGUGUGGUCUAUUAGUAGAGUAUUAUCUUUAAAAUGUACGUGUUUUUAAAUUUUUCGGCUUCUAAGUUGUAAUCUUCUAGUUAUAAUAGCUAUGGUAGUUGACUUUUAGGUCGUCACUGCAACGGGAAGGGUGUUAGAACUCACUUGAUUGAAGGGUCCUGAUUCCUGAUCCUUAUUGGCUGCAGAUUAACCCAACCGGAUGCAACCCUUGAAACUAAAGAAAUAUGGUCCAAACAGUGUCUACUUUUUAGAGAAGUAAAACUUUGGUAUCUCAACUUUGAAAAACUUUAAAACAAUAUCUCACAUUCUUAAUCGGACCGAAGAUCGGUAUGUGGAGCCGUUAGCUCCGUUAAAAAAAACCUAACGUCAGUCAUAUUUUUGUUAUAAAAUGACCAAUUUAACCUUCAGUUUUUUUUUGUGUAAUAAGAAAUCGUCCAAACAGUGUUUGACCUUUCAGCAGUUCUAACUUUUAGUAUCUCACAUUCUUACCCCGUUAGAAGAUUGGUAUUUAGUACCGUUAGCUUCGUUUUCGUAUGCUUGCGUUGGUGAAAUGGUAAUGGCCACCGUUAAGAAGGGCAAGGUUGAUUCCUUGAUCUAAGGAAGAUGUCAUGUCGUGGAAUUGAGCGAAACUGUGUUAUUUUGGUUCCCACCUUAUGUCUGCACAAGUUUUUGAGUUGCUCAAUGAAGUCUAAUCUUCUCCGAGCACUUACAUGUAAAUCAACCUGCAAUUCACAAAUCACAACACAAGCCCAGGUCCUUACAUCAAGCUUAGAGCUUCAAUCGAUAAAGCCCAAAAACAUAACUGUCAUGCAGGUCGUCUUCAAAUGUGAAUGAAACAUGUUUUGCAGAAAAAAAAGAAAAAUAAAUAAAUAAAAAUAUAGUUUUGUAUUGGGUGUCCGUGUUUCAACGGUUUUAGAAUAAGAUUGUGUUUGCGGGCUUUAACGGGUUCCGAUGGAAACACACAAGCCCGACGGGUUCUGCCUGUUUCAACCCGUUCACUUAACGGGUUUUUGCCGUGUGGCUUAGCCCGUUAAUGAUCCGGCACGUUAAAAACCUGCCCGUGACAGCACGAACCCGGCCUGUUGCGAGGCCUCUUUAGGUGUAUCCACUCAGGUCCCAUCUGCAGGAAACAUAAUCAUUAGUCAGAAGGCUUGAUACUUGUACACUCUAGCAAGAGCCAAGACCAGUACUGUAUUGUGUGAAAUUUCCAAAGAGACUGGUGAUGUCUUCACAUCCUUCUUCGUCGUAAAAUUUGUAAAACAAUCAAGUAGUUCACAAUUUCCUCUGGACAUUUAUGCUCAUAAUGGUUACUGUAUUCAUGUGAGAUAAUAGUAAUUCUUUUCUAGAAGGGGAUGAUAUAUGCUUUGGAGGUUAAAUAAGAAAUCGUAAAUAAUGAAAUUUACUUUAUAUAUGUGUGAGCUGCAGCGAUGGAUGCCCAUUUGGCUGACCAGUUUGGACCACUUCUAGUUGGACAUUUCUUCAGAUAGUGAACUAGUGAUGCAUUCAAAUGAUCCUUAGCAAAUUUAAUUAAAGCGUUUCUAUAUUCUAGGCAUAUGAUUAAGGUCGUUAAUUAAGCUAGACUAAAGUCACUAUACAUAGGUCACUAAUUCAUGAAACUUGUCGUUGUUUUUGGCACUUUCCAGUUAGGCCGGCUUUCUACCACAAAAAUAAUCAGGAUCAGAGAAUUCUACUAAUUCAUGUUUUCUCUUAUUAUUAUUAUUAAGAAAGAUGAUCAUCAAGCCUUUAUAACAAACAAACAAACAAAAAAACAAAGACAAAAAAGGAAAUUACAGGUUGCAGGCAAGAGCAACAAGAAGAUAUAGCUGUGCUAAGCAACCCGAAAACGACCUAAAGAAACCGUCACAUCCCGGUUCUUAAGUCAAUUUGCGGUUAUUUGCUAUUGGGUUACUUUGACAUUUUACCGUUUUAAGUAACCGUUUACUAUUUAAGACUCCAAAAGUUGACUUUUUCUUCCGUUUGGAAUUUGAGAAAACUUUUCUCCAUGAAAGUCGUAGAGGACGUUAAUACAAAUUCGUAGACAUGCUAUAUAUUAAAAUCGGAGUUAGCAUGAAAAAGUUAUCAGGUAAAAGGGGUAAAUUUUGAGUGGUAAAAAUGGGGUAAAUUUUAGUAGGCUUUAUUUGUUGUGGGUAUUAAGUUGGACCGGGUGUGGAGCAGCCCAACACCCCCCCCNNNNNNNNNNNNNNNNNNNNNNNNNNNNNNNNNNNNNNNNNNNNNNNNNNNNNNNNNNNNNNNNNNNNNNNNNNNNNNNNNNNNNNNNNNNNNNNNNNNNNNNNNNNNNNNNNNNNNNNNNNNNNNNNNNNNNNNNNNNNNNNNNNNNNNNNNNNNNNNNNNNNNUCUCUCUCUCUCUCUCUCUCUCUCUCUCUCUCUCUCUCUCUCUCUCUCUCUCUCGCCCGUUUUGACCCUCCGGAUUUGUCGCUUCCGUCCAUCGCCGUCCGGCCAAGAUAGGCGGCAUGCUUGGUAUCAAAUCGAAGCUUGGAACAUCCUCUUCAAGUCUAGGUAGGUGGCUGGUCGUGUGCGCCACCGUGAGGGAGGAAUCACGCUGAGAAGGAGCGGCUGUGCGUGGAGGUGUUUUGCCGGAAAUUCUCUUUUCGGGAAAUUCUCUUUUCGGGCCACCAUAGCCGGAACUGUUGGUCUCAACUUGAAGCUCUCCCUCUCAGCAGCAAAACCCUAAAAGGAUACAUCCUAACUCGAGCUAGGUAAGGAGAAUCGAAGGUUUGAAUUUCUAGGGUUCUUUAUUGUGUUUUUGUUCGAUUGACAUGUUUAAGCUUGAAAUUGGACUUAGUGAUAGUUAUGAAAGUUGUUUGGGAUGUUGAGAGGAAGAUGCUGUUAAAAUUUGGUAGCCAUUGGGGGCCGCCGGAGUCGGCUACCGGCGGAGCAGACGGCGGCGCCGCCGCUGUAAGGGGCUUUUCAGGGUUUUAAAUAUGUUAUAUUAAGGGGAGUCUAAUGGUAUGAAGUUUGGAAUUUUUGGAGGAGUUUUGGUUAGGUUUGGAAUUUUCCAGAGAUUGGAGAAAUUGGCAGUUGAUAGAAUAAAUCGGACCAUUGGAUUUUCUUGGUUAUGGUCCUAAAGUGCUAGAAUCGAUGAAGUGAGGUUGUAGAUGAAGUUUGGUGAAAAAUCUAAGUAGCUUAUUAGUGGGUUAAUUGGAAGGGUUUCAGUGCAUAAGUGAAAGCAUUUAAUUUCCUAAAUCAAAAAAUGGUUCUAAAUAUAUUUAUUGUGUCAAGAUACGAAGGGAACCUCGCUUGAGUGGCGAUUCGGAUAUCGUCGAGCUUAUGCCUAAAUCUGUGAGUGGACAUUUUGGUUUUAAUUAAAUAAGCAUGCAAGAUUUUAUAAUUUAUUAGUUUAUUUUCCGAUCUUAUAUUAUAACUUCGGCUUAUGAAAUGAUCUUAGAAAUUAUUUGAGUUUGAUGCAUGGAUUUAAUUGUUGGUCAAGAUUUAUGGAUUUGAGCUCAGAUUAUUAAUUUGAUAUUUGAGUUUGGAUAUUUUUAUAAAUUUCGGAUUUCAUUAAAAUGGUUUUAAUGGUAGACUUUGAGAUAUAUAAAAGAUUUCCGAAAAUGGGAUUUUCGGUAGUUUGCUAUUUAUAAUUUUCGAAAUUAUUGGUGGAAUAUCGAUCUUGAUCUCGAGAAUGUUUUAGCGAGUAUUUUGGAUUGAGAUAUUAAUCAUGAUUUUUAUUUGUUAAUUAAAUCUAGCUUAUAUUAUGGUUUGGAGAAUAUUUUGACAUGUGAGACACGUCAUUGAGUUAUUAUAAUUUCUUAUGAUGAUUUUCAAGUACGGUUGGGAACUGUACCAUUCUUAUGAUCUUGGAGAAGAUUAAUGAAUUUAAGUGUUUUCGUAUGUUUUAGUCACCAUAAUAUAAGUUUAUAUUGAUUACUGCUAGCUAACUAUUAUUAGCGGCUACUCACCAUAGGCGAGUAGAGCGCUCAACGUGGGACUCUAUUAUAACCUGGGAGGCAACCGAUCGGUAUUUAUAUUUAUUUGUUAGCUAGCCAUUAUUAGCGGCUACCCAUUAUAGGUGAGUAGAGCGCUUAGCAUGGGACGCUAUUAUAGCUUGGGAGGUUCUUUUUACAUGGUGAUAACUCUUCCCCAUAUUUAAUUUUUCUCAGUUAUGUAAUUGAUUAACCAGCGGGGCUGGUUUGUCCAUUCUUAUGAUUUCUGGAUUUAAGUAGUAUGAUUUAUCAAAAUUGUGUGCAGCUAAGUUUUUAAAGUUGAAAUGUGUUUUGUUAAAUUACUUAAUUAUUUUUGUCCACUCACUCCAACGUUUUUAAAUUACUUUCCCCUGGGCCUUUUGGUUUUAAAUGCCCAGUGUGCAUGCUAGGUUUAAAUGAGGUUGAGCGUACAUGGAGUUGAGGCACAGUCAAAGGUUGCUUCCGCUUAAUCUUUAUUCUUUAUUAAUCUUUCCUUAUUAGAUAUGCUCUGAUAGUUAGCUAGUGAUUUAAUGUUGUCUUUGUUUUUGGUUGUGGAAUUCCUAAUGUUUAGUAUUUGAUAAUUUGGGAGAUGUGAUGAAUUUGGGGAGCAGGAAGGCUCCAGGUGUUGGGGUUGGUUUAAUUUGGUUAUAGAAGUGUAAGUUUGAUUUUUCAGGAAAUGGUUGUUCAUUUUCAAGGUAGAUUAUACUGAAAUUUUGGUAAAUUUUCUUUAGAGGUGUACCCCGCAAGACUUAUCCCGGGUUUCAGGGUGAAACUCAGGGCGGAUCCUGACAUAAACUACCAUGUGUUCAACGAUAGCUAAUGCAGAAAUGAAAAUGAUAGAAAAAUUUGGGAACAUCCUACACAGAGCCUGGAACCAUCCUACAUAGAGGAGUCUCCGUGUUUUUCAGCCUCCACCAUUGCAGAAACCAAUUGACCGGAUUCUAAAAGGUCCAAACCCAGUUAUAUAUAAUAAAUGUUGUACCGACACAAACGAUCUCUGACGAUCCUUCUUUGCAUUGGUAGUGAUAGUCAGUUUCUAAGGAUGCACAAACUCCUCUUUAGGCUUGUUCUUGGCUCCCAGAGGACCCAACAUUACUCUUCUUCGGCGGAGUCACUAGAAGAGUCCCAGCCAUGUUAGGCAGUGACAGCUCCAACACAGGCCCCUAGACCAGCGUCCUCAGCUCGCUUACUGUAGACUGUGGCAUCAGCAGAUGCAUCACGCUUCUUUCCGGUUACCAUGGGAUAAUCAGCCAACGCCUAGAGAAUGGUUGCCGGUUUCAGAAUGACCGAUUGCAGAAAAGCUAACACACGCAUGAGAUCCUCCAUUGUAACUCCCGGCUUUGACAAACGAAACCCAACGCUAGGGAUUUAUGGUAAAAUAUCAAUUUUACCCCUGAUAAAUGCAUAAUGGCUAACGAGCCUUUUAACGGAGUGUGAUUGUUGGGCCGGGCUUCAUAUUUGGUGUACCAAAAUCAAUAAUUUGUAACUUGGGUACAUAAAUGCAUAGUCAUCUUAAGUUGGUGUAUUGUUCCUGAAAAUCUUUUAGGCAAAAACCGACUAACCAAUCGAUAUUGACAACCAACAAAGCCAAAUUAUGUGCCAAACAGGUGUCCUCCCACAAUAAUUUUCGGGCUUCAUACUUGUGUACUGUGACGAUCAAACUAUCGUUAUACAAACAAUGGGAGAAUUUUCUCCAAAAAUAUCUAAAUAAUCUAAUGAGUGCAUUCGGGGGAUGACAAGGAAAGAACCCUAGUUGCAGUUUUCGUAAGGUCGGAUAGAUGCUGAUAUUUAUAUAGCUCUUUAUUCUUACACAUUACACAUCAUGCUUUUUGGAUACAGCUAUUCUUGAGGUAGAAUAUUGUCCUAGAUGUUUAAACUAUUGUAGGAUUUGGUAACAAAAAAAUUGAUGAUGUCAAGAAACAAUACGAGUCAUGCAGCAACAGCAAGCAAAUUAAAACACCGAAUGAUUAGCAAUAAACAAUCCCCAGAUCUGGUUAUGGUGCAUUAGGUGCUACAGUACAAACUAAUUAAACCUCUCUUUGCCCUUCCACCUAGUCACCAACCUAGGGCAAUCAGGUAAUUUCAGUUCCCAUUUUUCUUUUAUGAAACAGUCUCCUAACUUUCCGACUCUCCCUUUAAAAAAAAGAGAGAAAAAUCAUCGCCACCAUCAUCAUCCUCCUCCUCGCUUAACUUUCCAACGCCCACAAGCCAUGUCCUUCUUCACACUACUCCUCCCAUGGACUCUUCUCCUUACCGUUCUACUCUCUCUACCCCUCUCUCUCUCCUCCUCUUCCUCCAUCCAUGACCUCCUCCGCUCGCAGGGCCUGCCAGCUGGUCUCCUCCCUAAGGAAGUCAAGUCCUACUCACUCUCCGACGACGGCCUCCUCCAAGUCUUCCUCGACGCUCCGUGCCUCACCAAAUUUGAGAACCGGGUUUUCUUCGACAGCGUCGUGAGGGCCAACCUCAGCUACGGAAGUCUCAUCGGAGUUGAGGGUUUGACUCAGGAAGAGCUCUUUCUGUGGCUGCCGGUGAAGGACAUCAUCGUUGAUGAUCCGGGAUCCGGUCUCAUACUCUUCGACAUUGGAGUAGCUCAUAAACAGCUUUCUCUGUCGCUCUUUGAAGAUCCUCCUUCCUGUAAACCCUCAGGUAAUUCCAUCAUGACUAUCAGAUGAUCAUCAUUUGCCUAGCUGUUUAGUUUUCAUUGUUUUUCAUUUUUCUUUCUGAGGGUUUUGUUUUUGUAACAUAUGUUGCGGUUCGUAUGGAUGGUCAUGUGGGUUUCUGUUAUACUUUUGUGUGACCUCAACAGUUUCUUUGGACUUUAAUGUCUGCCAUGUCUCUGAUGAUAGCUUCAGAAAAACUAUUCAACUCAUAGGCUGCUGCUUCUAAUUUUUUUUUUUUUUCAUAACAGAAAUUAUUAUAAAGUAUAUUUGGCCAUUUUACCUGUGCUCUCACAUGAUAAGUCAUAAUUUUCCAAUAAAACAAUGAAUGAAUUUAAAAAAAAUACAUAAAACACAACAAAUAAACCAAAAACACAGAGGAGCUUUGCUUGCUUGCCGGCUACCUCUGUUAUUAACUACUUGUUUGCACUCUGGCAUGCUACAAUCUACAAUUCUACAUUAAGAUUAUGGACUUAGCUAAUGUAUAUGCAUGAAUAGUAUGUAUAUGAGUACCUCAUUAGGCUAUAAACUUGUUUUGUGAGUGUUUAAAAAUGGUGGAAUCUAUAUUGUGGGUACAUGGAGACAAAUUGGCAAUAUAAAUAACAGCUGUUUAAUUAUACUAUACUAAUUUCUGCAUGAAAAACUAGCUAGGUAGCCAAAAUCAGUGUGAGAAUAGCGACAUUUCCACUGUGUUGUGCAUCUUCUUUCUUGGUCCACAAAGCUUGCAUGUAAAAUGGGGUGUGGGUUUGGUUCUUGAGCCUAAUUCAUGUGACUAUUGCAGGUGCAGUAGUGAAGAAUCAUGUGAAGAAGCAGGGAAAAGGGUUUGAAGCUCUGAGAUAGCUAGGGAGAUGAUUCCUAUCUGUUACAAAUGUGUGUUUUUCUAUAAUUGAGCAGUUUAAAAUUGAUUAGUCUUCUUAUUAAUUAAUGAUAUAAGUAUGUAAUUAGAUGGAGGCUAGCUUGAUUAGAGUAAUUAGGAGAGCCUUUAAAGAGGAAUAGGAGGAGUUAGCAAAGAUGUGAGGAAUCUGAUGUUGUAUGUGCUCAACAUAUUAGCGGUUUCUAAUCUUCUAAUCUUUGUUUUUGCCUUUGAUUCUCACCUGUUCCUUAAUCUCUGUCUUAUGUUUAAGCAAAGCAAGGGAUCAAACUUCUUUUAAUUAUUCUCUACUAUUUAAGUAUGAAUUGGCAAGGCAAGUAUUCCAGAGAGUAGGUAUAGAUAUUUUCAAAUUUCAUUUAAAUACUUAACUUUUCUUUAUUAAUAAUUUCAAUUUUAGCUCAUAAUCGACUUUGGAUGGGGUCUUUCUGUUUAAAGAAAUUAUCUCUACGCUGACUAUUAGUUUAGAAGUAAAGCCACUAUGAAUUAAACGCAAAGUCUACAUCCCAAAUCUAUAUUUAUAUAUGCGUGCCGGCCAGGUUCAAAGUCUUAGAGGGUUAUUAGGUUAAAUGAUAUAAAGCUUAUUGUCUAUAUACAUAUGAGGAUGACGAUUGACGAAGUUGUUUCCAUAGUCAUUCCCUGUGGCUAUGGGAAACAAAGGAUCGGUGUAUCCCAAUUGAAGGGAGAAAUUUCAGGUGAAGUGCUCGAGUUUAUAAGUUGAUGUCACGGAUGAGAUGACCAGAACUCCUCCCUAAACCUAUUCGAUGAUGAAUAUUCGAACAAAAUGUCUAAUCGUUGUUAACUUAUGAUGCGUGAUUCUUGAUUACAUUGUUGGUCAGUCAUCAAUAGGAUUGGCUCAUGUUAUUGAGCUUUGUACUAGCUACGUUUCCCGCUUCCAAGCACUGGCUUUACAAAUUACACCAAACUUAGUUUAACAUAACAUGAUCGAAGGUUUGUAUUGUUAAUUCUGUGGGUGCCUGCAUUAUCAUAUAAGUGAUCUUUUGCCACUAAUUUUAUUGAUCUUGAUGGAAGGAUUAAUCGUGUUUGAUUAGUUUAUAGUCGAUGAUGAUCAAGAAAAAACCCUGCCCUCGUGUACAAACUGGAUACACCAUCAUAUACUGCACCUCUUUGUUUUGUUACUUUGUCAUGUUUUAUACUUUUUUGUUCUUUUGUCUUUCACUCUGACUCGUAACUCGUCUUCAUAUACCAGUGUGAUACUGUGAUAGUAUGAUGUUGAACCCCGAAUGUGGGCCAAUGAAAUGUGGGCUCGAGAUUGUAAGAGAGCCCGGACUCACUUUCUUCAUGGAAUGGGAGUUAUGGGACACACACUGAAGACUGGAGUGACACACCCAUUCAAGCAGUCAACUAGUUAGAGCUUCGGCUUUAUCAUAGAAAGAUACAGGCCUUUUGGUCUUAUCAUCAAGAAAUAUCAUGACGAUCCCGCCAUGAGUAUGAUUAUUUAUGCAUUUUUCCGGUCAUUAUUAGUUUUUAAUAAGGACUUUAUAAUAAAAUGUUUGUUUAUUAUUUUAUUGGUAUAAUAUAUCUAUUGUAAAUGUGUCUGAUUGUAUGAUAUAUGAGAGUUUUUGAGGUGAUAAAUAGUCAUUACAUGGUUAUUUAGUUAUUUUUUUAAUCAAUAAUAACCACAUAUUUUGAUAGACAUGGUAUAUAAGAUGAUAUACUAGAAUUUUCUAAUACUAAAUACUAAAUGAUAAUUUCUAAAUUAACAGUGAAAUGAAUGUUUUAGACGAUGGAUUUUUUCAUACUAACAAAGCUAAUAUCUAAAUGACUUUAUGUAAUAACCUAAAACGCAUGUAACCCACACAAUUUUGUAACAUAGAGACAGAGAUUUCAUACAUUUUGGUUUGAGGCCUAGAGAUCUGAUGGUGUACUUUUCCUCUCAAAAUGAAGAACGAAAUCACCAUUAGAAUUGUGCUGGGAUCUUUCCUUACCCAGUAAGGUAUCACUUAUCAGUCUCCUCUGGCCAGGACUCGGUAUAAUAUAAUCAUUAAAUAAACUUAAAAAUUAUGGAUUAGACAAACCCAAAUGAAAUGGUAAAAUAAAGUAAGUGCCGAAAAUAAUAAAAACAAGUUCAAAAAAUUUUCAAAUAGGAUAUUAUCCCCCACGUGGCGGGCACGAGGAUAAUCACCAAAGAUGACACGGCCCCCGCGUUAAAAGCAAAUCCAAUUCCGAUGACGCUUCUUCUUCUCUUUUCAGGCCACAUAUAAUUACCCCAACCCCUUUUCAUUUGCUCUCCCUCAAAAACCUUCGGCGAUUAAUUAGCGAUUAUCUCAGAGAGUCUCUUCUAGGGUUUUAAUGGGAGGCGGCGUGAUGAGGACGGCGGCGAAGGUGGCCGGGAUCGGCAGCGUCAUGCAGGGCGGGAUCCGGGGAUCGCCGGCGGUGCCGUCGUCCGGGAAGUCGAUGCGGACGGCCUCGAUCCCCGUCGCGGCGGGGGUAUCGGCGCAGAGCUUGAAGGGGAGUGACGCCGGGGUGAUCGAGAAGCAGCGGGUGGAGGCGACGGUGGAUGAUUUUGUGGACUGGCAAGUCGUCGGCGGCGAAGAUGAGUUGGUGAUGUCAGCAGGCGAGCCGAUGCCGAGGGUUGUGUUCGGCGCCGCGCCGAGCUUCAAGGAGGCCAAAGAGGCCACCGCUGAGUUGAAAGAUGCUCUCGAUAAGUAUAAUUGCUUAGAGCCUUUUUUCAAUUUUUCUGUUUAGAAUUGCGUUUUGUGUUCUUUCUUCUUGCUAAAUUCGGUGGUGUUUUAUUGCUUAAUUUGAUACAAAAAAUAGUGACAUUCAUCAUUUGAUUGAUCAGAAAUCAUCACAGGUUUCUUUGAUAUCUGUUUUCGAGAGUUUUCAUUUCGAUAGGGAAAUGAUUACAGGUUAUAUCUAGUUUUAUUGUUCAACAGGUUUGCAAUUGGGUUAACAAAUUCUAGUUAUUAGAAAAGUUUCAGACUUUGAAGUUUGAACAUUUUCUGAGUAAAGUAGAAUUUGAGUGUGCUGUGUGUGUUUUUUUGUUUGGCUCUGGAAAUCUCAGUGUAGCUAGGUUUUUUUUGGCUGUGAAAUUGGGGAAAUCAUGGGGUUGUUCUAACAUGUACCAAGGCACCAAAUUUUUAUUCUUUAAAGAUUUUGCUGUCAAUACCAGGUCGAUUUAAUUUGUAGUUUUUUUUUGGUAUAUGGUUUACGUUUUUUAAGCUAACUCUAUCAGUGGUGAACUUUCAGGGCAUACUUAUCUUCACCCAAAAUUACUGAGCUGGAAGACCCGACUGCUGCUGACAAGGUGUCUGGGCAGUCUCUGUUUUCAAACCCUGGAGCCGAAACAGAAUCUGUUCUUGUAACUAGGACUUCAGUGCCACAACAUGCUUAUAAGGCAUUUGAACUGCUGAGUCGAAGUCCUGAGGCUCAGGUAUUGACUGAACUCCACCUCUUAGAUAUAUCUCUUGCAAAGUUGGUCUUAUUUGGACAAUCGAAGUGUAUUUUGUGUUUCAGCUGUAGAUACCAUAAUAACGUGAUGACUACUACACAAUAAUAUGGGAAUAAUUAAUUUCUUGGUUUUAUUCCCAGAAUGUUGUUGCUUCAAUUGCAAGUGACCCGAAUGUCUGGAAUGCUAUGAUUGAAAACUCUGCUGUCAAACAAUUCAUGGAGUCUCAAAAAAACUUAAACCAGGAUCCUUAUGACUCCGCUUCAGAUUCUGAGGUUUUCAAUCCUGUAUCUUCAAAGGAGGUCAAGGAGGAAUUUGAUUCAAGCCAAUCUUUUGACUUGGAACAUCUGUUCAAUGGUUUUGUGGAUAAAGUCAAGCUUACCGUCAAUACCAUUGUCAGCAAUUUGUCGACAUACAUUCAGAACAUUUUCGAACCCCCUGCAGAUGACAAUGGCGACAAUGGCUCUCCCAGAACUGUUAUAGCAUCUGGGUUCAUGGGACUGGCAAUUAUGGUUGUAAUGGUGGUUUUGCUGAAGCGUGCCUAAAGCUUCAUCGCUCUGCACAUGAAUCAUCUGAAAAAGCAAUCCGGAAAUGCUUCUCGCUGCAUGAAUGUUUAAUAAAUAAGAUCGAGUUUUCCUUCUUAAUAUCCUUUGGCAGUACUUUUAGAGGAUUUUGCAUGUGAUUAUGUAUGACAUGUUUGUACAGCUUAUUUCUCAAACGUAACUUGGGCAAAUCUUAAUUUGCCAAAUACAUUGAUGCUGCUUUAUUUGUAUUGAUGCUGCUUUAUUUGUAUUGUGUUUCAACAGCAACUGUCCGUUUGAUCCUUAUUGAUUGUGUACAUGGAUGUUUUUUAUUUUUACUUUUUUAUUUUAGAAUUGGGUGUACACGUUCGCCACCUCGAAAAGUUGAAGGUGCACAUGCGAAUGUCAAAUUUGGGCGUAGUUGAUAUGUUGGUAGAAAUGUCAACUUCAUUUUGUACACCAGUAGAGAGUUUGGUUGUUGCCUUCCUGGAUGCCAGAAGAAGAAAUUUCCAUGUGUGCACCAUUUUUCAACACUAACAAUUACUAACUGUUAAAAACUUUAGUUAUCAAAUACCCUUAAAUUUGAACCAAUUUUUCCAGUGUUGAAUCAAUCAUCGACCAACAACCAGGCAGAUAUCAUUCCAAUUAGCAAAUGUACUGGAACUGGAACUGUUACGGAGGGAAAACAUGAGCUCAGUGUUGUAGAUCACAAUCCCAGAUUGUUGUACAUCUACAGACUUUCUCAGAGCAAGUAGCGGAACAGUCUGGCAGUUAGCUCUUCCCUCACCCAUUUGGACAAGUAGGGUUUCUGUGUACUGCAAAAGCUUCUUUCUUUUGUGCUAUGAAAAUGGAACUUUGAAACAUGUUCAGCGUGCGAUAUACUAAUGUUCAAUGUUCAAUAUGUCCUCUUUUGAUAUAUGCAUCUUGCCUUUAUCUCUUCUACUAUUUGCUUGAGUGCGAUCAGGUUGGCCCCGCUGAAAACAACAUUUACAUCCAUGUAAGAAUGGUGACAGCAACACAAAUUUACACGUAUUGGUUAUUUAGCGCCAAUAUGCACCCACCUUCCUUAAGACAAAUGACAUGUACAAAUAGGCUACUUCCCAUUCGUCUUGUGAUAGUGUACCUGGAUAUCACAAAGCAGGAAUGAAAAAUGUAUUAAAAACGAAACCAACCGGAGACUUCAUGUUAGUGAUAGAUGUUUAGGGCCAAACAAGUAUUGAGUAUAGAACAUACUCUGAUCUUGGUUACCAUCACCUAAUGCACCAAGCCUCCGCAUUAAUUCCACAUACUCUGGCCUUUUCAUGUACUCGUGCACGAAUUCAUGAGAGUUCUUCGCAAAAAUUAACUCCAUAUCAUACUGCAAGAGGUGCAAUACAUGUUAAAGUUGUAUGAGAAGAUUAACAGAGCCCGACACGUAAAGUAUCAACAACAUCAAAUCUGAACCGACUCAAAAUAGCUAAAUGAAUUUCAAUCUUCAUUUAUGGUCAUUUUCUAGCAUUUAAAAGAUGUCAUACCUCUUCUACCAAUGAUUUGAAUACAUGAAAGGGGACAAUCCAUUCAGGGCAAUCAACAGCAUCCUGCAAAGUGAAGAAUUCAAAUAUAACAUUUAGAAUAACAUUUUGAAGAUAACAACCACUAAUAGCAAAAGAACAUAAAGGAUCAAGUUAGAUACCUCCAGGUGAAACUUGUACUUGAUACCAAAGGGGCUUGAAGACUUGAAUUUCUGAGCGGCAAAUUAUACGUCAAAUUAGAAUAUAAAAGAUUCAAAUCAUAUAAAUAAAUAAAAAUCAUGUCUCUGGAGGAUAACUAAAUGAUUUCAGAUACCUUUUCAGAAAAUUCUUCAUCAAAUCGUAUCCAGUACACACUAUUUCCAAAGAACAAUCCUUCAGCUGAACAAUCAAAGACAAAAUCGCAUCAUCAAUCAAUAAUGACCAAAAGGGGGAAAUGUACAAAUUAUUUUGUAGGAUGCUCAAAAAUUGAGUACUCAGCAAGGAAGGAUCCUCACUGAGGGGUACCAUUUAGUGAAGUCCCAACACUGACAGAAUAGGUUGGUAAGGUUGAUUAAGGGCUUCACACAUUCUAGAGAGAAUCAGGGAAGUUACAUAUAACUCCACUGGUUUCAUUCACAAGUACUAUAAAAUCUUUAAAAAGUGGAUUAACAUGCCAACAAAGAUCCCAUAUUCCACAAUUUCUAUUAAGGAUCCUUCCACCCCUAUCCUAAUGAACUUUGCCCACUCAAACUGCUUAUGUGAGAAGUUACUCGACAUAAUGAAAGAGCAAGAUAUCUAUUUAUUUGGAUUCAAUGUUGCUUCUUUAGCAUCAAUAUAAAACAGAGGCUCUAGGGUGUAAAAUUACCUUCUCUCAGCUUUUUGAUGAUCACAUUGGCGUCUGGCAUUGUUCCAAUGAAAGUUCCGCCUGGGCGGAGUAAAGCUGAAACAUUCGCCAGGGCUCUCCGUGCACGUGCUUCAGUGGACCAGGAAUAAUGCAAGGCAAACUGCAAGAUAAAAUGUGCUUAGGCUUAUGAUGGUUCUUUUUUCAAAGGAUAUCCUCACUUCCUAUUUUAAUUAGUUGCAAUAUAAAUGUAAUCUAUUGUUCCAUGAAGGAUUACCUGGCAACUGCAAAUAUCAAAGGGUGCAUCAUCUGCUAGGGCUUUAUCCAGUCGAACCUGAAACCAUGAACAUGACAUCAAUAUUUAAUGGGUAACGAACCACUCUUACGAAUUAUGUCCACACAUGCUGCUAAUGGCUGAAAGGUUGACUGAACAAAACACAGGAAAGCUCACUAGGGAUAAAGAAUGGUUAAGCUAGCAGCAAUUACCUCAUAGCAGUCUCCACAGAUAAGACGUGCAGGAAAUGUAAACUUUUUACGGCGUUGAUGAUGAUCGGCAUCACCAUUGUAACGGGUACGACAAUCUUCUAUCUGUGAACAGUUUAAGAGAUGAUAAUAAGAUCAUCAAUGACAAAUGUUAAAACAGAAGGCUGAAAAAAUAAUAAUAAUAAUAAUAAUAAACAGGCUUCAGCAUGUCUUGACAAGGACUUGAGCACAUAUAUGUCAUUACUUUGUUGGUUUGUCCUUGGGAAAUACACCCACAAAAGCGAAAUGUCAUAUACUUGGAACAAGAAAUUGGGAAGGAUGGUACUGAGAAAAAAUUAAAAUCAUUUAGUGCUACAAAGAGUCUGAUGAAUCGUCAUAUUAUGAGCUUGUCCAGGAGUUUUGUUUUUUUAAUUCUCAAAAAUAAAAGAAAAAAAAAAACAAAACCCAAGAGAAUAACAACCAAAUGAAGUUCAGAAAAUAGUACACUCCAUGGAAGGAAAGAUCAGAAUCCAAUAUCAAACACGAAGCAUCAAAUAGUAGAAUUUUAUUUCCCAAGAAAAAGACUUCUAACCCACACCAAAUAAGAAACUGAUGAGCACUCUACAACAUUAACCAAGGACAAAAACCAAAUAACCGAAUACAAGAUACUUCAUAAUAGUUAUAACUUAGACCACAAAAAAUCUAUAAGUUUGUAUUUACACCUUCUGAGACAUUAGCCAGUAAUUUCAUGGAAAAGCAAUGAAAAGUGAUUCUAGAAUCAAAAUCUGGACUCCAACAACAAAUUCAGGCAAUGGAAAAUAAUUCCAUCGCAGUAACUAUCUUAUCAAAGAAUGUCAACCAAAGGAGUUAAUUAACGUAAAACAAUAAUUCAGCGCUUACCGAUCCUUCAGCAAUAUCAAUGCCAACGUAGUACCCAAUUUUGGCCUUGUCCCAUUUGAUGAGAUCACCUCCCUACCGAAAAUAAGAUAUUAGAAAUUGUUCAGUGAAACAAAAGGAGAGGAGUAGAUAAAUGGACUGCCAAUACCUUGCCACAUGCAAGAUCAAGAACAGCAUCUCCACGGCGAGCAUAGAGCUGAAUUAAGACGCUCUUAAUCUGUUCCAUAGGAAAAGGAACCAUAUCAACAACAAAACUACCGUGUUGUGUUCAAAACAUUCCGAAGUAUAAUGAAUACUAAAAGACCAACCCAAUUGUUAAGCUUUUUUAGAUGGAUGAUUGGGCUAGCUUCUCGUUCUUCCAGAGUUUGAUUUGUCCUUGCACUAUAAUGAUCGGCCACUUUUCGUGCAAAAAUCUUUGUGCUUUCAUCCUCCAAGAAAUUUGAAUCAUCUAAGAGCACAAUGCAAGACACUGAUCAAGACAAAACACCUAACAAAACACUUGCAUCCCCCAUCUUGCAUGCGUUGUAGGAAGUAAAAAAGAAGCCUCGAAUUCAGAUUUUUCAUCAUAUGACUAUUACCAUAUCCUUUUUCUUUUGCUUUGUUCUAGUAGUACGAAUAUGAAAAUUAAGUUACCAACAAUGCAAGGUGUCCCAGCUCGAAUUUAUCAGCAUACUAGUGCUACACCUAUUUUGAACAGAUAAUUCGUUCAAAGCUUUCAUCUUUCUCCCUUUCACUCACUUACCCAGCAACCCAAUACGUAAAAGACUACAAAACUACAAGACCCAGGUCUAAAACCCCUCAAACAAAUCAAAAAGAUCAAAACUUUACCGCAUGAAACUUAUAAAUCCGAACCAAAGAGCGAAAGGGUAUGUAAAUAUUACCUUCUGGGUUGGCUUUGAACCUCGAUUGAGGUGGCCCAACGGAGGUGGAGGACGAUUCCGAGUAGCCUCGUUUCAUGGCCAAGGAUCAAAAUGGCAGAAUCGAAUGGGGCUCAAAAUCAGAGCCUUGCUAUCAAAAAGCAAAGAAACAAAAAAUUGGUAUUGUGUUUUAUAAUGAGAGAGACAAAGGCUUAAAAGGGGCUUUGGGUUUGAGGUCCAGGAUCAGGAUGUGUUACAAGUAUAUAAAUAAAAUAGAAGAUAUAUUAUCAUUAGGAUCUGUGGCGCAAUGGUAGCGCGUCUGACUCCAGAUCAGAAGGUUGCGUGUUCGAUUCACGUCAGGUUCAAAUUUUUUGCUAUGUACUGGACUUUCUAGAGCCCUUUGAACUAAUUUUUUUUCUUCAUGAACUUUCCUUGUGUUAGUUCUGCAUUACUCUCCUUUUGUUUUCCCCCUUCUUUUUCCUUCACUUGACUAAUUUUUAGUUUGAUAAUUGGGAUACAGAGAUGAGAAGAUUUGGACUUUCUAGAGCUCCAAUGGAUUUUUUUUUUCUUUCUUUUCUUUGUGAUCUUUACAUCUGAAAAUCAUCAUUGCAUUUUACAUGUGCUAUAUCUGUACAGAAGUAUUUAGCAAGGUCUGGCUUCUCUGUUGAUUGUUGUUAACUUGGAGAAAUCUUGUAAACCACUGUACAGAAGAUUUAGGAAUCCUCGUAAGGUUCUUCUUGUAAUCGACAUAGUAGAGGCCAAAUCUCACAGUGUAGCCCAUGUUCCAUUCCCAGUUGUCAAGUAAUGACCACACGAAAUAACCACGAACAUCACAUUUGUCUUCCCUGCAUUGAUUUAGUUUUCUGUUAAGAAGCAUUUGCAAUGUUUUAUCUGGAAGAAUAGGAUUUCAAACUCUGCAUUAUUACCUUAUGGCAGCUGAUAGGUUUGAGAGAUAGUCCCUGUGAAAACGUAUCCUCUUCUCAUCAUUUAGAGCCUUUUCCAUAGAUGUGAAAGGUUUAUUUGGAUCAUCCAUACCUGAUUUCACAAUGUGAAGUGUUUGUUAUUUCAAGAAUCAUUGAUGGAUGAAACCAGAAAUCAGAACCUACUCACCAUUUUCUGUUAUCAUCAUUGGGGGGUUCCCAUACUUAUCUUUGAUGUAUCUUGCCAACUUUCGGAUUCCCCAUGGGACUAUGCGCAACCAGCGAGAAGCUGCCUGGAGGAGGAAGAACUGAUGAGCUAGAAUGAACUUAAAUAUCAAACCAAUGUUUAUUUCAGGGCUUUAUCAAGUGGUUGAGACGUACUUUUUCUCCAAUAGCCACUCCUCCUUUGUAAUCUACAAUCAAAAUCAGAUACAACAGUUAUAUCAAUUGAAAUUCUGAAUUAUUUUUGGCUCUAUGACUUGGUACUUUUAGCCUUCUAGGUAGUGCUUAGUUCACUAGAAUGAACCUUGGAAUGGAAUAAGCAUUCUUAUUGAAUGUUGACUUUCUUGUUUGGAAUAUAUCUAAUUUUCACUACUGCCACUUUAAUUCUUUCACUAUUUGUUCUUAUUCGCAUAUCUUUCCAUUCCAUUCCUAUGUUCAUUCCAGCAGCCAAACACUACCUGGUGGCAAAACAUUGUUCUGUGGCAUCUUACGUGUUGUAAUGACUGCAGCAUCAGAUGUAGCAUCCUGCAAUAUAAAUUUUCGAAUUCGUGUCCUGUCAUUCCGAGCAUAUAAUGUGGUGUAGUGGUUUAUGCCGAUAAAGUCCACUGAUCCCACGAGGAAUUUUGAAACUUCCUUCGAAAUUGCAGGUAAUCGCUUACCCACAAGCUUCUUCAUUGAGAGAGGAUAAUCGCCAAAAAAUAGUGGAUCAAGGAACCUGAUUCACUUUUUCUGUGUCAUAUAUGUUCUGUUUAUACACAUUUUGUUACUACUUCUAAAUGACAUGAAUAAAUAACAUUUAUAAAAAAGUUACCAUCCCAAACUGAACUCAUUCGCUCUAUGUGCUGCAUCUAUAUCCUCAUCAGUUUCCGAGAGAGGUUCAUGCCAUUUGGCAUCCAAUGAAAUUCCAAUCUGACCUCCUUGUUUCUCCUAGGAGUCCCAACAGAAGAAAAUGUAAAAAUAAUUAUAGAAUGAUCACUAAAAGAUUUGGAAGGUAUCACAUAUGCAAGGUUCUAAAACUCGGUCAACUCGGCCGAGUACUCGGCGAGUACUCGGUACUCGGGUAGUCACCGUGGCGAUUUUGGCCUACUCAGUGCCUCUAGUCGGCCAGCAGAAAAUCGGCCGAGUACUCGGUCCAACUCGGUCAACUCGGUCAGCCGAAAAAAAAAAAAAAGAGAGGCAAACGACGUCGUUUUGAAACCCUAAUAAGAAGAAAUGUCUCUAGUCUCUCGCUCGGUCGCUCCAGACGCUCAGUCCCGAACCUUGCUCUCCAGUCGCUCUCACUCCCUCUCAGUCGCCCUCGCCCAGUCGCUCUCCCUCACCUCGCCGGNNNNN